GGGAUUAAAUUGGCCACAACUUUAUUAAAUUUCAAAUGUGGGUAGACCUUGGCUCAGGCAUUGGGCGUUCUCCCUCCCCAGUCCCCAGCCGGGGACCUAGGGAGCAUCAGGGUUAUCCAGUGUGUGUGUGGGGGAUGGGCCGGCUCUGGAGAACAUAUGUUCAAGCAGAGAUAGCCGCCCCCGUUACGCCGCCGCCGCAGGGGAGAGCAAUGACGACCUUUCGGCGUACGGUCAAAGCCUCCCUUCAGAAACCCCUUUAAUGGGGAACCCUGGUAUCGCCGCUGCAAAGAGGAAGAUGGACUAAAGGAUUCCGCCCAAGGCCUGAUACCGCCAAAGUUGUGACUUUUUGCUACGGGAAAGGCGAAACCUGCCAAUGCAGGGAAAUUCCUUUCCGGCCCUUUAACAGCAACCUUAACGUAGCAGCGCCCGCAUACCUGUGAAGUAAAGUUAACCUGCAAAACCUGUGAAGAAAGGUUAACCUGCAAAAUAAGACAUUAACUGAGGGUGGGUAGGGUGGGAGAAGCUCUGGAGCCAAGUGAGGAUUCCCAGGUAAGAUCCUCCCUCUAUUGUGUGGGCAGGUAAUCCCUCCCCUACCUGGCCUGGUCUCCUUGGCAACGCUUCCCCAGGUGGGAUUGGACAACUGACUGAGGUAGGCGGAGACCUCCAGGUAUCCCACCUGAGGGAAGGCAAAGCCAAGCCUAUGCUGAUGGAGCCGCUCCAGAUCUAGGGGCUGCGCGCGUCCACGCAAAGGGCGCCCCCCGUUUUAAGUGGGGAGCGGUCAUUGUGGACUGAAGGCCAGGAUGUGUGAAGCUGCAAGAUAAUAACUUCAUAAGAUGCUUUGAGACAUUUUUCUUACUUUAGGGUAAGGGUAAGGUAAAGUCAAUGUCCAAUUUCCCUGCAGACAAAUCAGGAUGAAUGCUCAAUGAACAGGUCUGGAAGUGUGUGGUAAGCAUGGAUAUAUUUUUUGUCAGCUCACUUCCAUCUCAUCCCUCUUUCCAUUCUCCCAAUCUCCUCCUUCUGAAGGGUUCUUUGUGUAAUUCUCUUUUUAUUUUUUAUUAUACGGGGUUGUGCCCGUGUCUGAGUCCAGGGGGGCAUCUGGGUGGUGAACAUAGUCUGUUCCUGGCUUUUUGCCUACCCAGGUGUUCACCCUUGGCUGACCUAUGCUGGUGCCCUGGGUCAGCGCUGCGUGCAAGGGUGCAGGGGGCUAGUCAAACCAGAGCCUAUGCAACCACUCACCUUCUGUAAUCAAUAAAGUUGUGGCCUAAAUUCUGCCAAAAACCAAAACUAAAAUUUGAGUCAUGUGUGAAUUUAUUUAGGGGGGAGGUCUCUGGGUCUGAACACCCAAUAGGAAGAAAAGGGGGAAAGGGGGGGGAAUGAGUGGGGGUGGGGUUGGGUGGCGAUGUUUCUAUUUUACUUAAUAUAUGUGGGGUUUUGUGUCAGCGUUGCUUGUGCAGGUUCUCUGCUGUUCACUUGUGUUCCUUUGGUGGUGAGAGAGGUGGGGUUGACCUAGGGUGUGGUUGUUUAUUUGUGGUUGGCUGUGGUGGUCUUUGUUUUCAUGUGUGAAUGGGGUGGGUGGGUGUUUUGGAUCAGGUUAGCCACAUUCAUUUGUAUGCUGUUGGUAGAUUUUUGUCAUUGUCUUGUUGGGCUGUGUAUGUGAUAAAAGGGAGCCAUACCAGGGUGAAGGCAUCUUCUUCUAUUUGUCCCCAUGUUAGUUUCAGUUUAUUGGUUAAUUUUUCUAGUAAAGCUGUUUCCCAUACUAUUUGGUACCAUUGGUCCAUGCUUACUGCUGACAGGUCUCUCCAGUGUCUGGCUAUGAUGUUUCUGGCUGCUGAAAGUUGCCCACGUACACCACAAAGGGGCCUUUUCAGUGAUGGCUCUGAAUGACCUCCCCACUGAGGUGUGUCCAGCCACAUAUUUGUUUUUCUAAAGCACUUAGAGGCUUUAUUUACAAUUAAUGCAGCAUAAAAAUUCUGAAAACAAAUCCAAAUAAAAUAAUAAAAUAAAAUGUUUUCUUUUUGGAAAUAAGCAAAGAAAAACCUUUCAGCAGGCUUUUGGAUGAAGGUAUCAGCGGCUGAAUGAAUUGAUGCUGCUAUUUAUUAUGAAUUGCUUGUUAUGAAUUGUAUGUGUAUAACUGUUAAAUUUGUAUUUUUUGAAUAUUAUGUUAUGCAUGAAUGUUACAAUGUUUGUUAAGUUACUAUGUUGUAAACCACUUUGUGGCCCUUUGACAAAGGGUAGCGUAUAAAUUUCUUAAAUAAAUACAUUUCCAGGGUGGGUGUAAAUUACAGAAUAAUUUUAUGUCCCUAAUAAUGAUGUAACACCAGGAUAUAUUAGUGUACCAAAACAUGCAUAGGCAUUAUUAGGAGCUUCCAAACUUGCCACUUCAUAUCCCCUUGUUCUGACACCUAAUUAAUGUUUUCCCUUUAUGGUGUUUUGGGCCUAGCACACCCUAUUAAUGUCAGGCAGCAUAAUCUCCUUCGCUGUGGUUGGCAGGCACUUGUUAAUUCACGUUUAAAUGUGUCCAUACUUCUUGGGGAUAAUGAUUUUUGGUGGGGAUAGUGAAUUCAAAAGUUGGGGUGCAAUUGGAAUGUUGUCAUUUUAUUGCUUUGUAUACUUUGAUAACAUAAAAUCACUUUAUUGUUUAUAGUGCUACUUGAUAGGUUGCUAACAUAUUUUUUUUUAUUCAGGUUUAGGGACUUUCCAGGCCAAAAUGACUGGUUUGUUGAGGACCGAAAAACACCUGACUACAACAUAAACUCUCAUUUUCUUCCCCCAUUUCAGUAAAAAUGCCUCAGCUGCUUAAGGGGUGACCAAAUCCAGCACUUUCUUUCCUCUUUCACACAUUAUUAAUUCUCAGGCUUUACAAGAGGCUGGACUGAUUCAGAAUGUUGUAGCUGAUACAUACCUUACUAAUGGCUCAGAAUAGGAAUUGGAAUAAUAUCCCUGAUCCCUCAUUCCCAAACUAUAACAACAAAAUACAGGAGAAAGAAAACCUAUGUUUGUGAAAUAUAGCUGGGAUAAGAUAACAAAGAUGUUUGGAAGCCCCUGUAUGGGGGGAGAACAUCCUAUUAAUGAUUUAUAUUUCAGUCAAUCAAACAAACAUAGAAUCAUAGAUUAGGGACUGUGAGGCAAUGUAAUCAACUUCCUGUGCAAAGGCCACCAUUGGAGAUAAUCCACACUUAAGCACUUUAAGCAGAGAACAGGUUUAAGCAAAAGGACACCUGUAGUGUAAGCGGCUUAAACCUUAAAAAGCACACCUGAGUGGAAAGUAUGGGUCAGUUUGACCAAGGCAAAAGUUUCUUCUUGGUUCAAAAGAUGGCAAUCAGAAUGAGAAUGAACAAGUCGUGUGUGUCAUUACACAUUCCCCCAAAAUUACCUUGAGUGCAACCCUCGAUCACCCCAUUGUGUUUAUAGUUGUAGCAUUCCAUGAAUAUUCCUGUGCAGUAAGGAUAAUAAGAACAUAAGGAGACCCCUGCUGAAUCUAGGCCCAUCUAGUCCAGCAUCCUGCUCUCACAGCGGCCAACCAGAAACUUAUGGGAAGCUUGCAAGCAGGACUUGAGCAUAUUCCCCACUUAAAAUUCCCAGAAACUGGUGUUCAGAGGUAUACAAAAUCAGUCCAGCUGAGUACGGUCUACACUGACUAGCAUUGGCUCUCCAAGAUUUCAACCUGGAGGUGCUGGGAAGAAGAAGAAGAAGAAGAAGAAGAAGAAGAAGAAGAAGAAGAAGAAGAAGAGGAGUUUGGAUUUGAUAUCCCGCUUUAUCACUACCCGAAGGAGUCCCAAAGCAGCUAACAAUCUUCUUUUCCCUUCCUCCCCCACAACAAACACUCUGUGAGGUAAGUGGGGCUGAGAGACUUCAGAGAAGUGUGACUGGCCCAAGGUCACCCAGCAGCUGCAUGUGGAGGAGCGGAAACGCGAACCCGGUUCCCCAGAUUACGAGUCCACCGCUCUUAACCACCACACCACACUGGAUCGAACCUGGGAUCUUCUAUGUCCAAAACAAGUGCUCUACCACUGACCUACUGCCCUUCCCCAAAUGAUAUACAGUCGUACCUUGGAAGUCAAACGGAAUCCGUUCCGCAAGUCCGUUCAACUUCCAAAACGUUCAGAAACCAAAGUGCGGCUUCUGAUUGGCUUCCAAAAAUAGUUCGCAGAGCGGAACACUCACUUCCGGGUUUGCGGCGUUCGGGAGCCAAAGCGUUCGAGAACUAAGCUGUUCGAAAACCAACCUGUGACUGCAUUGCAUCAGUUCUGAGACGAAUAACCAAAUUUCUGCAGAAUGCGAAGACGAAGUCCAAGGUACGCACGCAACGUUUUAGAAACAAGGUAAACAACUGCACAGAAUCCCACCGUCAUUGAGCAUUGUCGCUCAGCCCCCUUCCACAUGCAAACAACCUCUUAUCUGAGUAAUUUGAUACAAAAGUAAAUGAAAGGUAACUUUAAAAACAGCAGAUUAUAUUAAUUUCACUCGUGGAAUGACCUUUGAUUGAGAGGAGACUCUGUUAGGCAGGACAGACAGGGAAGAGGGGUUUUACUGAUUCCAACUUCACUCUGCAGCCUGCUGUUGCAGCCCCCACAAAAUCUGCUGUAGUUUGGGGGAACCUUGGAAUACCUGGGAAGUAGAGUACAGGGCCCGAGGGAAAGGGGGAAAUUUGUGAAAAGCAACUCACACCCCCUUUCACUCUCAGAAAUCUCUGCUGGGUCACAGAAGCCUUUCAUCAGUGGAGGAACAGUAUUGGAUACAGCCCUACAAUCAGGGGCGGAUCUGCUGUGAAAGUUAGGAAGCUUCAGGGUCCCUAAUCAUCCUAGAGGAGCCCCAGAAACAACCUUAUUCAUGCAUGUAUAUAACAUUUCCCUAAUUUUUAUCCCCCACAUACAGUAACUUGAAAACCAUAAGGCAUAGGAAAUAUUUAUUCACACCAGUGACUUUGACAUAUGAGAUAAUCCAGUAGAGCAAUUUUAAUCAAAAUCUGAAAUGUAGUAGCUAGCUUAAAAAUAUAUAUAUAUAUUGUGGUGGUCUGUCAUGGAAGAACCCCACUGAAGAAGAUAACAGUGGUUAACUCAAAAUGUAGGUCGGCCACUGCCUACAGUUAUAAUUAUUUUGUGGUUGGAUGAGUUGGCUAGUUGUCCAGCUGACGUAUGAUCUUAUUGAAUGCUAUUUGUAAGUUUAUUCUACUAUGUCGACAGGGUUUUAUGUGACUUUGGGGUGGGUUAAAGGAGGAGAAAAAGACACAUUCAAAGAUCUGAUGUGCAUAUGGAUUACUCUCAUGCUUCUUAGAACUGCAUCACACAUGCUGACUUCCCCCUGUCUUUUUAUAGUGGUUAAUAUAACUUCUGGCCAUACGAAUAUGACCUCACAUGGCAAGAUUUAUAUUUAAUCAUGCACGGAAGAACAAUUUAAUAAACAAAUCAAGGGAGAAUGACAGGGAAUGGAAGAGUGACGGCAAGAAAGUUACCAGGGGGUGACCUUUUCCUGUCAUAAAUGAUUAUAUAAAAUCAUCCUCAGGGGAAACAUUCUGAGAAAAGGAUAUCUGUGCUUGUGUUCUUGUGAGUCAAAAAUGGUUGUUCAUUAGGACUACAAUUUCUGUCCUCUGCUUAGUUUUUUUAUUUAGUUUUGUUUAAAAAAUGAUAAUUUUACAGAAUUUUCCAUUGAGGGCAUUUUGGGUCAAAAGACACAAUGCCUGAUAUGGAGACUAUGGGACAUAGAAGCAAAUUGGCCACCAGUGCCGCUGACAUUGCAGAAUAGAUGCAACAUGUUCCCAUAGAUAUGGGCAAUCACUUCCUAAUAAAUUUGCCACUGCACUCUGGGUCAACUGCAGCUUAUGAAGACUCUUGAAAUCUAGUCCCAUGUAGAGUGCAUUGCAGUUAUCCAGUCUUGAUAUAAUUCGGCCAUGCGUUACUUGAUAUCAGACGACAAAUAGAGAUAUAACUGUGUGUUCAUGCAUAUACUGCUGAUCUAUUAUAUUUUCCUAUCAUACCACUAGUCUUUGCAUUCGGUUACUGGGUGUUUUUAUUGUAAUUGGUGUGUGUGUGUGUGUGUGUGUGUGUGUGUGUGUGUGUGUGUUAUGGUAUCUGCAGGAAUAACUCAGAUUUUAAGAUUAUCUCAGAUUUGGGCUUCGUAUUCACUUUACAAGAUCAUACUACAGUCAGUAGUCUGACUGAAGCUGCAUGAUCUGCAUGAGAGCCAGUGUGGUGUAGUGGUUAAGAGCGGUAGUCUCGUAAUCUGGGGAACCGGGUUCGCGUCCCCACUCCUCCACAUGCAGCUGCUGGGUGACCUUGGGCCAGUCACACUUCUCUGAAGUCUCUCAGCCCCACUCACUUCACAGAGUGUUUGUUGUGGGGGAGGAAGGGAAAGGAGAAUGUUAGCCGCUUUGAGACUCCUGAAAGGGAGUGAAAGGUGGGAUAUCAAAUCCAAACUCUUCUCUUCUUCUUCUUGAAUCUAAUGUGAUUAAACUGUAGGAUCAUCACUAUUUUGGUAAUCUGAGAACUGCGUACCUGUCCUAUUCCCCUCCCAAAGGCAUUGUUGUCUAAAUAAUGAAUGAACAUGUGCAUAAUUGCAUUUUCAUACAUUUUAAAUGAUUCCACACAUACCUCUGCACUGAAGGACUUCCCUUAAAAAUAAAACUCAGCCCUCCAACCAUCUCUUUUUUAGUGAUCACAGUCCAUCUCAGCCUGGUCCCCAGCAGGCUUUCCAUUAAUGUGCUAGGCUGACAAUGAGCUGAAGACAGAAUAUGAAAGUGAGCUGUGGUCAAAUAAGGCUUCUAACUAAGCAUGAUGACAGAAGCCAUCACCUUAAUGGGCUCAGCCAUUCUAAAAUGUAACUGCUGACAGUCGUGCACUUACAAUCAUGGAAGGAACAAUGGGACUCCUCCAUCUGCACAUUUUUGGCUGACUAAAUCAUCUGUUUCUAGCUUUACAUACUCAUCCAGCUUGUAAGUGUCCUGUAGGAAAGUUGCUUCUGUCAUCCAUAACAGCACACAAGGGGUGGAGGAGGGGGAAAGAGGAAAUUACUGCAGCUUUCUAUAGACAAUUGAUAACCUUGCCUAUAUAUUCUUAGCCUACCUGAGAGACCUCCCUCAUGGAUCACUGCCUUGCCGUGGCGAAGGGGCUUGAAUAACUCAGAGAAGCUAUGAGCUAUGCUGUGCAGGGCCACCCAAGACAGACAGAUCAUAGUGAAGAGUUUUGACCAAACGUGAUCCACCUGGAGUAGCAACUGGCAAGCCACUGCAGUAUACCUGCCAAGAAAACUCCAUGGCAAAUAGAAACUCCUGGCAAAUAUAAGGGGAAGAAAUGGAGGCAGUGAGAGAUUUUACUUUCUUGGGCUCCAUGAUCACUGCAGAUGGCGACAGCAGUCAUGAAAUUAAAAGAUGCCUGCUUCUUGGGAGAACAGCAAUGACAAACCUACACAGCAUCUUAAAAAGCAGAGACAUCACCUUGCUGACAAAGGUCUGAAUAGUUAAAGCUAUGGUUUUCCCAGUAGUGAUGUAUGGAAGAGAGAUGGACCAUCAAGAAGGCUGAUUGCCAGAAAAUUGAUGCUUUUGAAUUAUGGUGCUGGAGGAGACUCUUGAGAGUCCCAUGGACUGCAAGAAGAUCAAACCUCUCCAUUCUUAAGGAAAUCAGCCCUGAGUGCUCACUGGAAGGACAGAUGCUGAAGCUGAGGCUCCAAUACUUUGGCCACCUCAUGAGAAGAGAAGACUCCCUGGAAAAGACCCUGAUGUUGGGAAAGAUUGAAGGCACAAGGAGAAGGGGACGACAGAGGACGAGAUGGUUGGACAGUGUUCUCGAAUCUACGAACAUGAGUUUGACCAAACUGUGGGAGGCAGUGGGAGACAGGAGUGCCUGGCGUGUUCUGGUCCAUGGGGUCACAAAGAAUCGGACAUGACUAAACAACUAAACAACAACAACCUGAGAGACAUGGAACAAGGCUAAUGCAGUUUUUGGUUUCUAAGCUGUAGAACACCAGCUUUGCUCUCCAGUUCCUUCAAGGACUUUUGCAACAAGCUGUGGAUUCUGGGAUCAUCCAUUUUGUAACUCCUCCUCCAUUCCACAUACAGAAACUGAUUGAAUGGGCAGUUGAAUCUUACCCAAACACUGGUGAUGGGACAGUAUCUUCUACCACACCUAGCAAGCUAGCUUAGAGGACACCACAGGACAGACUACACGUAACAUGCACCUCUGCUCUCCAACAGCUCAUUGAUACCCCACUCUCAGCAUCCACCACCUGAGGCAAACCCCUCACUCUAUCUAAUGGUAGGGUCCACCCACUGGGGAUUGCAGGCUGAAGAGGAACAUGAAGACUUUUGCACUGGAAUGAGAGCCAGGAUAAGGGUUGUGGUUAGAAUGCAGGAAGAUCCAGGUUAAAAUCCCUGGUCAGCUGUAAAGCUCCCUGAGUAACAUAGAGGCAGCCUCACAUUCCUCACAGGACUGUUGUGAGAACAAAUGGGGAGUGGAGAAACCAAAUGUGUCAACUCCAGCUUCUGUAUUGAAGGAUAGAAUAGAAGUGACUAGAACAGUGUCUAUUUUGGAACAGAAACUUAUCUGUGAAUGAUGAAGGAGGAGACAGAAAUAACUGGAAUAUAUAUAAUACUUUCCCCAACAACAAAAAACAACAACAAAUACACACACAUGACAUAGUCCCUGACCCUCAAAUAAUUCUCAGUAUCAUAUGGACACAGGAAAACUGAUGAUGCUUAACUCAUAGUUUUAUUUAUGUUCCUAAAAUGCAUUCAAGAUCCCUUUUCUAGAGAUAUCUUCCGGGAACCCCAUUCAUAACAAUUUGCUACUGUUGCUAUUAAAAACAAAUAAAAAAUGGAGAUGGAAGGUGGGGCUAGAGAUAAACAGUCACUAAAUAUAUAAUUAAAACAAAUAUUUAGAUACUUCCAUAAUGCCAUUCAUUCAAAACCGCCACCAACGUUAAUCAUGUUCAGAGUUAAAAGCAACAUUCAAUUAGAUCAUCUUUCCCAAAACAUGGAUUAAGGCUGGAGAUUACCUCAAACCAAAUAGUUAUUUCUGGGCCAUUUGAAGCAGCCUUUCAUGUUAUUUCAGUCAGACCUCAUAUCUAAAAUGUGAUCCUUUCUACAGCAUUACUUGGUGUUGCACUAUGUUUGCAGGUUGCUUUUAAAAAAAUUGUAGGAUCCCGUCUUUCGGAAGCACACACGUACAUGAGGAGAAUGGUCCCUGCCUUUGUAAAUUCUCAUUUCAUUAUUAUCACAACUUCCAUUGAUCAAAUAUUCACUGUCUUCAGUACCCCCUCAACUCUGAGUUCUCCCCUCCAAAAAGAAAGGUAUUUUUGCUUGUUGUUGAACUUAAUCAAAAUUGAAUGUAAAUAACACUUUGCAAUUAUGAGUGUUUAAAUUCCAAAUUUUUCAGGCUAAUCACUUUCAGAAACAAACAAGAGAUUGAAUUUAUAUCGCCUGCAGUUGUUAUUGGAAAGGUACGGCCCGAGAUUGCUAAAUGAAGUCAGUCCCACUGCAAUUAUGACCACUCAAGCGUGCUUUCAACGUAUCGUGCCAAAUUAGGUAGAUUUGAGCAAUUUGACUUCCUGUAACAAAUCUCCAGGGCACCUUUGAGAAAGUACAGACUGUUUACAAACACUCUCAGAUUUCAUGAGUAACUCUGGGCAAGAGCCCUUUCAGCAGCGCCCGAGCACACACCUGUCAAACUAUGACAGCAUGGACUUUUUCUGCCACAUGUGCUGGAGAGAGGGGGGGACCCCCCUCUCGCAAAUGUUUUGUUAUCUUUUAUUUGCUGUGCUUUUAUUUGCUUUCGUUUUAAAUGAAGCGGCCACCAAAGAUUUUUAAUUACCUUGCAUAGAUGCAGACACAAAAAGCAAGCACCACAGGAUCGCAAUCAACCCAAUGCAAAUGUUGGAAACUUACCGUAUUCUAGUCCCCCUAGCUGAGGGCUUAUCUCCUUGGGCAAAUCUAUCGCAGCAACAUUAUUUUUCCUGGCAAUGAAAACUAAAUAUGAGGCAUGGUCCAGGGUGUCAUAAAGAUUUUAAAAUCCCAUUGAUGGAGUUUACUCAGUAGAAGAAUUAAGCAUAUGUACCUCUUUCAUAGAAACUAAUGGGAUUGGAAAGUUCCAUUAAAAUUUUGCUGGAUCGUACCAAAGUGAAAACCAGCACUUUAUUCCUUAGAAGGAGAUAUCAAUAGCAUAAUCAAAUCUGAAGCCAGGUUAGAUUCCUUAAAUUGCCUAACCUUCCCUGUGGUAAACCAAAUUGAUAUUGGUUAGAUCUGGUCCUAACCAAUGUGGAUGACCUGGUUAGUGGGGUAGAAGUGGAAGGAUCAUUAGGCGCGAGUGAUCAUGCUCUUCUGAAGUUUACUAUACAGCAGAAAGGAGCAGCCAAGCAUACUAGGACUCAAUUUCUUGACUUUAAGACAGCCGACUUCAUAAAACUUAGGGAAGUGCUGGGUGAGAUCCCAUGGACAGUAAUACUAAAAGGAAAGGGAGUUCAUGAUGGCUGGGAGUUUGUUAAGAGGGAGAUACUAAAAGCACAACGUCAGGCAAUACCAAUGAGAUGGAAACAUGGAAGGUGCCUAAAGAAGCCAGGGUGGCUAUCUAAAGAACUUUUAACUGAGUUAAGAUUAAAAAGGAUGUGUACAAAAAUGGAAAAGGGGGAAACCACCAAAGAGGAAUUCAAACAAAUAGCCAGCACGUGUAGACACAAAGUCAGAAAAGCUAAAGCACAGAAUGAACUCAGGCUUGCUAGAGAGGUUAAAAGCAACAAAAAGGCUUUUAUGGGUAUGUUCAUAGCAAAAGGAAGAACAAAGAAACAGUGGGGUCACUCAGAGGAGAAGAUGGUGAAAUGCAAACAGGGGACACAGAAAGGGCUGAACUCCUCAAUGCCUUCUUUGCCUCAGUCUUCGCCGAUAAAGAAAACAAUGCCCGACCUGAAGAAUUUGGAGCAAAUGAUUCAGCAAAGGAAACACAGCCCAGAAUAACUAAGGAGAUAGUACAAGAAUACUUGGCUAGUUUAGAUGUAUUCAAGUCUCCAGGGCCAGAUGAACUGCAUCCAAGAGUAUUAAAAGAACUGGCAGAUGUGAUCUCAGAACCACUGGCAGUCAUCUUUGAGAAUUCCUGGAGAACAGGCGAAGUCCCGGCAGACUGGAGGAGGGCAAAUGUUGUCCCUAUUUUCAAAAAGGGGAAAAGAGAGGACCCAAAUAAUUAUCGCCUGGUCAGUCUGACAUCAAUACCAGGGAAGAUUCUGGAGCAGAUCAUUAAGCAAACAGGCUGUGAGCACCUAGAAAGGAAUGCUGUGAUCACCAAUAGUCAGCAUGGAUUUCUGAAAAAUAAGUCAUGUCAGACUAACCUGAUCUCGUUUUUGACAGAAUUACAAGCCUGGUAGAUGAAGGGAACGCAGUGGAUGUAGCCUACCUUGAUUUCAGCAAGGCAUUUGACAAGGUGCCCCAUGAUAUUCUUGUAAAGAAGCUGGUAAAAUGCGGUCUUGACUAUGCUACCACUCAGUGGAUUUGUAACUGGCUGACUGACCGAACCCAAAGGGUGCUCAUCAAUGGUUCCUCUUCAUCCUGGAGAAGAGUGACUAGUGGGGUGCCACAGGGUUCUGUCUUGGGCCUGGUCUUAUUCAACAUCUUUAUCAACGACUUGGAUGAUGGACUCAAGGGCAUCCUGAUCAAAUUUGCAGAUGACACCAAACUGGGAGGGGUGGCUAACACCCCAGAGGACAGGAUCACACUUCAAAACGACCUUGACAGAUUAGAGAACUGGGCCAAAACAAACAAGAUGAAUUUUAUCAGGGAGAAAUGUAAAGUAUUGCACUUGGGCAAAAAAAAUGAGAGGCACAAAUACAAGAUGGGGGACACCUGGCUUGAGAGCAGUACAUGUGAAAAGGAUCUAGGAGUCUUGGUUGACCACAAACUUGACAUGAGCCAACAGUGUGACGCGGCAGCUAAAAAGCCAAUGCAAUUCUGGGCUGCAUCAAUAGGAGUAUAGCAUCUAGAUCAAGGGAAGUAAUAGUGCCACUGUAUUCUGCCCUGGUCAGACCUCACCUGGAGUACUGUGUCCAGUUCUGGGCACCACAGUUCAAGAAGGACACUGACAAACUGGAACGUGUCCAGAGGAGGGCAACCAAAAUGGUCAAAGGCCUGGAAACGAUGCCUUAUGAGGAACGGCUAAGGGAGCUGGGCAUGUUUAGCCUGGAGAAGAGGAGGUUAAGGGGUGAUAUGAUAGCCAUGUUCAAAUAUAUAAAAGGAUGUCACAUAGAGGAGGGAGAAAGGUUGUUUUCUGCUGCUCCAGAGAAGCGGACACGGAGCAAUGGAUCCAAACUACAAGAAAGAAGAUUCCACCUAAACAUUAGGAAGAACUUCCUGACAGUAAGAGCUGUUCGACAGUGGAAUUUGCUGCCAAGGAGUGUGGUGGAGUCUCCUUCUUUGGAGGUCUUUAAGCAGAGGCUUGACAACCAUAUGUCAGGAGUGUUCUGAUGGUGUUUCCUGCUUGGCAGGGGGUUGGACUCGAUGGCCCUUGUGGUCUCUUCCAGCUCUAUGAUUCUAUGAUUCUAUGAUUCUAUGAUUCUAGAUAAGCAAGCGGCCCAUAUGAUGACUGCUUGAAAUGCAAAGUGUGCGCUGCUGUGCAUGAUAAGCCAUUCACAUGGAAUGCUGCACUUGUUUCAUACAGUUUCACUCCGGUAGUCUGAAACUGACAGAUCCGACUGUAUGUGGAUCAAAUAGUUUCCAAAGAGAAUGGUUUGAGAGCACCUACUGCUUUCUGGAUGAAUUCGCUGGAUAGAUUAAUAUUGGUCACCCCAAUUUAAGCUGCUCUUUUCUGAAUGAAAUGUGCAAGAAAGACAUCACUCCCCUCAACAGCAAGCUCAAAGGCCGAAUGCCAACAGGACUGUAGCCAAAACAAGGAGGAGGUAUCAGUACGCUUUGGGGAUACAACCCCAAAACAGCCCAAAAAGGCCUGUGCAUGUUUAGUGGCCAUUGAACACUGAACAUCUGUUGGUGAGGGACAGAAAACUAGGGAGGAGAAACAAAAGGAAUUUUUCUAGAAGUGGACAUGGCUGGCCGGCCGUCUAUAACCUGAAAAGAAACACUAAUCUCUGGAACAUUUUGUUGCAAUCUCAGUUUGUAAAUAAUAUACCUGCCAUCCCAGACAAACUCACUCCAAGUGAAUUAGAGUGGCCCGGAGGUGACUUGUGUUCUUAAAUUGUUGACUUGAGUUUUGUAAUUCAGAAUAACCUUUUAACAAUCACGACAACACAUCUGGGUGAUGUACAAAUGCCUGGAGCUCAUCUGUGGCAAUUUUCCUUAAUCCCAAGAUUCCUCACUUGAUGUACCUUUAGGAUCAUGGAAGUUGCUAUGGCUGCACUCUCUGUAACCUCCCAACUCGCAUUGCACAUGUGAAUGGAAUACAGCUGCAAGCAAAUAAAUUAUCCAGAAGUGGUGCCUCAGCCAGCCCCUCAGAGAGAGAAAGAGAGAUCUCUAUACAGUGGUACCUCUGGUUACAAACUUAAUUCGUUCUGGAGGUCCAUUCUUAACCUGAAACCGUUCUUAACCUGAGGCACCACUUUAGCUAAUGGGGCCUCCCGCUGCUGCUGGUGCACGAUUUCUGUUCUCAUCCUGAGAUAAAGUUCUUAACCCAAGGUACUAUUUCCAGGUUAGCAGAGUCUGUAACCUGAAAUGUUUGUAACCCGAGGUACCACUGCAUAUUCCCACUGAAACGUACGAGGGGCAGCCUACCACUAAGCACAGUUCCUAAGAGCAAUAGCAACAAAUGUAUUAUUAUGAUUUAAAAUACAAUAUUCAUAACUUUGCUAGAUAAGUGAUAUUUCUGUCACACAGGCCUUGCACAACAGAUCUAUCCUAACUGACUGUUAUCUGUCUAAAAAAGGCUACCAGGAACAAACUGACCAUGAAAUAAAGUUAUGACCUACAGCAAACCGGGUGUUAACUCUGUCCCCCUAUCCAUCCAGUGAACUUAACACUAUUAUGGCAUCUAAUAACAACAGGAGUUCAUUCACCUCUUCAUCCUGCAACAUGAUAAGCUCUGAUCCAGGGAACUGGCAUUACUACAGGUGCCACAUACCUCUUCGGCAUUUGUAAGAACUUGAUUGUUUAGUGUGGCAGUGCCUACACUUCGGAAUUCCUUGCCUAUUGAGAUCAAGCCGGUGCCUUUGCUGUAUUAUUUUCAGUGACUUCUCCAAACAUGCUUGCUUAGACAAGCCAACCCAACCCAGAUGUGUAGAAGGUUGUUGUAAAUCUUAAUGUUCACAUUAAGUGAAUUUUAAUGAUGUGAAUGUUUGAAACUAUUGUAUUUUUUUCUUGAUUUUCUUGUUUCGUCUUUUUGUACAGCAACAGGAAGAGCUUAAAUCUCUCUUCCCCAUGGUCCAGCUCCAGGUCCUGACUGGGGAGCCCAGCAGCUGUUCUUUACACAAGGAAAAAACCAGAUACAAAUACUACCAAAGCUACACAUUUAAUAUCCCGUGUUGUUAAAUCCAAGGGAGUUCCUAUAGAUAAGGCCAGAUGGGUUCCUUUUGCCUUUCCAGGUCACUUGAUUUCUGCCAGCCUUCCUACAUGCAUUUUCCCUUCCUUCUUAGCUUUUCUGAUGGUGGAUGUAGUGAACCAUUUAGAGGCCCUGGGUAAUAUAUGAACACCUUUGGCAUGGCCUUCAUGAGAAUGAACCCCUGACUUAUUACAUAACUGAGAGGCAGGUGCCUUGGUCCUGGGCCCAGUUCCUCCAGUUUAGGUCUACUGGUGCCUUGCUUAAGAAAUUAAGGCUUACUGCAUGUCAACUGAAAUUAACUAAUGAACAGAAGAAAUAGGCUUUUGGCCUGAAGUAUGAUUCAGAUAUUUUUGCUUAAUUUAUUUCUUGAAUAAUCUCUGCCCAUAAUACAGACCAAAUAGAAAGCUUAAUAGACCUGCUAGAAGAACACAUACAUAAACUUGUUAAAAGUUUAAGGCAUUCAUACAUAGCAUGUCACUGGAAUCCUAUCCUUUGCCAACCUCCAGAAACAUUUUCUUUUUCUGUACUAAAAGACAACCUGAAAACAUUUUACUGUGAAUUAAUGAACUAAUUUAUGGAUUACACUCACGGCUGUUGCUCGAGAUGCUGGUUUAGGUCAUUGUAAUAUAUUAUGAUAGUCUCUGUAGCCAGGAGUAAAGGAACUCCACAAACUACAAAGAGUUCAAAGCUUUUGAUUACACACGGGUCCUUGAAGCUUCCAAUCAACUGCUUUCUCGUACGCUUGAACUCAAUUGUGAAGGAGCACCCAAAUGACAGAAGGCUAACUCCAGACUUGCGAGAAGGGCUGCUCCAGCAAUUCUUUCAAGAUGUCUGUAAUCAGCUAACAGCAGACAUUGACUCAACCCCUCACAGUUAUUGCUGAACAGGUUUCAGGUCUGCUGUGUUUCUUCAGGGGCCAUUAUGCUUAAUCUCAAUUGUUUGGAACACGAAACUCUCAAAAUGGAGAUCCAGACCUUUGCUUAUUUCACAGUAUUAUUUCAAACAGUAACUAUUUUAAUUCAGCCUCUAAGGGGAUGCCUAUAUAUAUAGGCAUCCCUUUAGAGGCUGAAUUAAAAUAGUUACACACACACACCCAGUUCAGCAAGUACUGUAGUUCUUAGAACUUAACAUCCAGUGAACUUAGAUUUCUCAAAUAUAUAUUUCUCAUAUAUGAUACAUCCAUUUCUAACACUAAAGGUUGUACCUGCUCAAACUUCCAAGCUCCUCUUUCUGACUGAGGGCAAUCUGCUUGAAGUUUUCAGGUAUAUUUACCCACUGCCCUCCCACUCAGAACCUCAAGCUCUGGUCUACACCAGAAGUAGCCAACAUAGUGCCCUCCAGAACUUGCUGGACUUCAACUCUCAUCAGCACUGACUAUCAGCCAUGCUGGCUGGACUUGAUGAUAGUUGAGGCCCAACAACAUCUGGGGUUGGGCCCUGUCCGCUACCUCAGUCCACACACACAGACUAAAGAGCUAUUUCCCAACAACAUACUUGGCAUUGCACUGAAAAUCUACAAGCAGGGUUUUAUACCACAAUGGCGGAUGUUUGUGAGACCUUUGGUGUGUACAUGUGUGAAUGCCUUAAUGGUCACAUAUAAGAAAACUUAACAGGAGUGCUGGCCUGAAGUACCAUUCAGAUAUUUAUGCACAGUGCAUUUCUAGAAAAAAUCCUGCCAAUAAAAACAGACAAAGUAAUAAUACACUUAAUAGAAGUCCUAGUAAGGACAAGUACACAUAUUUAACUUGUUAAAAUUAACUUGAUAGUUAUUACACAACUAGCCAAAGUUUAUAUAUUUGCUGCUAAGAGCCUGUUUCUGUUUUCCACCAGAUGAUGUACAUUUUUGAUGGAACAUUCCUUUUGAAACGUCCAGCUGUAGGAAAAGGAGAAACUUGCAUGCCUGUUUACACGAGAUUGCCCAAGUUUUUCAUGUUAGAUUUCACACAUGCUAUUUCAUUUCACAUGAUUUUUUAUUUUAUUAUUAUCUUAAAUAUUUACAUACUGCCUGUCAUUAAAAUAACACCAAAGUGGUAUCAAGUUAUGUAGUAGCUGUCCAAUGGGAGGCAUGUUUCCUUUCUCCAUGGGUGUUCAGCAACCCACAUGGCUGGAAUAUUUUAGCCAGAUAUGGGCAGGAGUGGAUUGAUCAAUUUCUGGUGGUCCCUCAAAUGCCUACUAGUUGCUGCUAUGAGUGGCACAGGAACGUCAGUACCAGGUUUGGGGUCCCACGGCUAAGAGGACUGCCAAAUACAACAGAGAGACAGUGGCAGUGGUGGUAGUAAGCAACAGCAUGUCAGAAGGACCAUGCUGACUUCCAGUGCUCCAACUGAUGGCUAUUUUAAUGUACAUCAUUACCCAAGGAAAGAGUGGCAGUAGAGCCAGCCUAUCAAAUACCAUCUGCGCUCCCUCAGCUGGCUCCCACACCAUUCCAGCAUCCUCACUGGUUCCAAAGGUGGCUUCUGACUGGCUGUGAUUGCUGUCACUCUUGCCUUGUUGACAUGAUUUAAAUUAAAAUGGCAAGCAGCUAGAGCCUUUGAGAGGGCCAGUGGAGUGCUUUGCUUUGCAGCAAACCCUGCCAGGAAGCUGGAUAGCCAGAAACACACACAAAGAGACACAGAAGAAUUACAGAAUAGUAGAGUGGGGAAUUGUGGAGUGGGGAAGCACAGUGCAAAGGCAGAAGCAUUAUUGUUUUACUUGAAUAAAAUAAGGGGGCACGUAAGCCCCACCCCACAUAAUCAGUCACAAGAUGCAGCACACACACACACACACCACUUGAAUGGCAAUGCCCACCAACUUUGGGGGACCCCCUCAAAUAUUUUAUUGGGGGGGGACGAAGGGACCUCGGCCCCAGGAGUUCUCCUAUGUUGUUGUGAGUUUGGGGGUAUCUGUAUGAUUCCUGAGUCCCUUCUAAUUCCUGGGGUCCUGGAUCCAGCAAGGGCUAACAUAUAAGGAACAAUUCCACUGUUGAACUAGCCAGGCAUUUUCUUUUUUCUUUUUAAUUAAUUUUGCUUUAUUACUUCCAACAAAAAACCAAACAUACAACAAACAAAUAAAAGCACAUUAACACAAUACAUCUACUGUAAAUAUAAUAAUUUCCUAAUAAAUAUCUUCCAUAAUAACUUCCCAUCACCCCAUCAAGAUAUCUUAUUAUUUUUUGAGCUGUCACACUUCUCUUUAUCAAUACUAAUACAGUGGUACCUCGGGUUAAGUACUUAAUUCGUCCCGGAGGUCCAUUCUUAACCUGAAACUGUUCUUAACCUGAAGCACCACGUUGGCUAAUGGGGCCUCCUGCUGCUGCUGCGCCUCCGGAGCACGAUUUCUGUUCUCAUCCUGCAGCAAAGUUCUUAACCCUAGGCACUAUUUCUGGGUUAGCAGAGUAUGUAACCUGAAGCAUAUGUAACCUGAAGCGUAUGUAACCUGAAGUACCACUGUACAUCUUUAUUCUCUUAAGUUACUAUAAUUUCCUAGUUUUCUACAGAAGUUACUCCAGGCCUGCCAACGAGUUCAAAAUCUUACAAUGCUCCCUGAAAUACUUUCUAUACAGGUCCCAUUCCUUUAUAAAUGUUUGUUCAGUCCGGUCUCUUAAUUUUUUCGUCAUUUUAGCCAUUUUUGCAAAUUCUAAUAGUUUUGAUUGCCACUCCAAUUUCAUCAGUAUCACAUCUCCUUUCCAGUUUCUAGCUAUUAGAAUUCUUGCUGCCAGGCAUUUUAUUGGUGAGUUAAUGACCCUAUGUACUGUUGUUAGUAUAACAAAGGAGGUUGCACUGUGCCAGAGGGGAAAUGGGUGGGUCCCCUGACUGUUAGAAGGACAAUAGUGAGUGCAAGUGUGUGAGAGCUGGAGGCAGGCAGAAGCUGGGAGAAAGCCAUGCUUGAUUUCUGCUAAGAUCCAAUGCUGUGACUAUGGGAGAGCACAACCUUUUGGAGUGUUAAUGCUGUGAGCUGCUCCAUCUUUGACUCAGGUUGUACAAAUGUGUAAAUAAACCAUAUAGCCUAAAGACACCACAGUCUCUGCUGUCCCUUAUUCUAAGGAAACUGAACCCUGAGUAAGUGCCUGGAACCCCUGGAAUCUCACACUGCUCAGAGGUGACGUGUGACAUUAUUAUCCUUAUCUCCUCAUAAACCCUUGAUUUUGAUGUAGCCAUGUUUAUUUUGGUGAAGGAAUAGGGCUCCUCAAAAGGGUUGCACACAGGGAACCACAGACCAUAAAUCUGCCAUUGCUCAGAAUGCUUUUUAAAAAGCCCCAGCUGCUGGUAUUGUAGACUUAGUUGUUAGAUAGACACUAACACUAGACUCUAGAGAUACUGCUGCUGGCAUCAGCCUCUAUGUGACAUUUACCUCAAGCCAAAUUCCCUAAACCUCCACCUCUGCCAAAUACUUUCAUAAUCCAGUCCAGCUACUGGGGACAAUCUGUCCCUGCCCCCUCCCCCAACUCCUCUGGCCAUACUGUUGGCUGCUUGGACGACUCUAGGGAACCUUAGCCUGUUGGCCAAAUGCAGCCCUCCAGGCCACUGGUCUUUGGGACAUUCUUUGUACCAUGCCCCUAAACAGCAUUGCUCUACACCCACCUCAAGGUUUUCUUCUUGUUGGAAUGUUUCCUUGAACUGUGGUGAUGCUUCUUGCUUAAAUGGAUUGAGAGAUGUGGGGGUGGGCAUAGAAACCUCUGAAUUUUGCACAGCUGGAAAGGAGCCUACUGUACAAAGAUAAGAGUUGCAUUUGUUGCUCUACUUCCCUUUCCCUCUGACCCAACAUUGACGUGGCCCCUGGAAGGUUGCUAUAAUAAAUAUUUCUAAUAAUAAGCAAGCAUACAGAUAAAUCACUGUUGAAGUGCACCCACAACUGUGAGGCUUUCCAAGCUGUUACCAUUGGCUACAGACUACCUGUGAUGUCACAAAAGCAGAUGGCAGCUGAGUGGAUACAGCAGGCAGCAGCUAUGACAUUCAGCAUUUCCCAGUCUUCUUCCACCUGCAGGAGGCGAAUAUCCAGCUGCAGGUGCUAUUGAGAACUAAUAAAGUAAGUUCACUUGCUGAGUAGGAUUGUGGCUUGAAGGCAGGUGAGCUGGAUGGGAGCUGGCUGAUGUCUGCUAACAGAUGUAGCAGAAGCUGGCUCAUGCUGGUGGAUGGAAGCUGGCGGAGGUCGCAUUCAGAAAUUGGUGAAUACCUCAAGGCUGAAGCAGGCUGAUGUUUGCAGAUGUACUGGUAAGUCAGUUGAAAUUCCUCUUCAGAAACUGGUCAACAGAAGCCGGUGGAUAUUUGUGGGAUGAAGCUGGGGCAUGAAUGUGAAUGAAUUGUGAGAGGAUGUGUCCGUUGGCAUGCUUCAUGGAUGUUAACUGGUGUAUGCCUGUGUGAAGGGGAGACGUUGAAUGUGAUCAAGUCAAAAGGUGUGCCUAUGUGUGCAUAUGUGAUGUGUAAAAGGUAACCGGUGGAUAUUCAUGAAUAGAUGAAACCUAUGGAAGCUGGCAGGCUGAAAUUAGUGGAUGAAGUCACGAAACUGAAGCUGGUGGAGUUGCCUGGGUGAUGCUGUCAGAUGCUAGCUAUCCCCCUUAGGGUCUCUGGGUUCCUCCCCUGUGGAUAUUUUCACCCCCUCCCAUUGCGAGAAUCUCCUGAUAUGAUGUUUUCAGAAAGGAGGGGGUGCGAAAACUGCUCUUCACUUCUUCCGCUCCUGCCUGACUCUGUGGGGAGUCUGAGUGUGAUCUAUGUAGAGAUUAGAUGGCUGAGUGAGAGCUGUAACACUCAUGCAAGCCAGUAGCUCUUUAGUUCUAGUUUGCAGUAGCUAUUAGAAAAUAAAGAAGUUAUGUUUCACAGCUUUCUUCCGUGUUGUUCAUACUCUGCUGAGCUUGGUGCUCACAAUGGACAGUUGUGGAUCCAGUGCACUUAGACCUGCUUUCCAGGAGUGGAAGGUCUCUGGAAGUGCUCCAGUCACCUAGCCCAGUCGGGGCAGUACCGGUUAUUGAGCCCAGUCAUUGGCAUCGGCUCAAAGGCGUACUGACCCCCUCAAAGACAUGUCUGAAGUCAGUGAGGUUUUCUUAAGACCAACCCUGAAAGUAGUGAAGAGAACUGCAGCACUUAGACAAACCAACUUCUUUCUAAAUACAUUUAGCUGUGGCGUCCAUUCUAUCUUUUUUUUUCAAAGACAGAUAAUGGAAGAACAAACACCUCAGCUUUGUAGCAGUACAUUGAGAAAUAAACAACGAACAAAUCAGUGCUGAGGUGCCUACAAUUGCCAGGCCUGGGGAGGCUUUGCUGAUGCCAGUUGUCUGUGGACCAUCUGUAAUUUCACAAAAGGGCAUGGUAGCUGAGGUGAAAGAGGUUCUUCCCAUGACAUCACUGGGGCCCACUUCUGUGGCAUCACUGGCUGCCCUUAGUUUUCAGGCUCCUGCCCUGAAAUCUCAGAGUUUGGGAUGCUCCUAAUAACACAAUGGGUAUUAAUAUUCAGGCUUCCUUUUCUAUCCUCAUCUUUUCUCUCUGGUCUUUUCCUCAUGACUCCUUCCUUCAUCAGAACCCUUCCCUCCCUCUCCAACUCCUAAGCUGUUCAAAUCUCAACUGUCUCCCUCAGUGACAGUUAACUCCCAACUGAUGGGAACCUCCAGACACAGUCUACUUUCACCCAGACCAAUGAGGAUGGAUUUACCUGAUUCAGGCCCCAACGAAUAAAUUUUCAAAGCUAUUGAGAACUUGACACCAAGCAGUUGCCACGAAACAAGUCAGCAACAAAGCAAUAGCACAAGGCCUCGGAAGUCAGAUUAUUUCCCCACCCCCCUUCAAAACACCAGCAUAAACAGACACAUAUACAGCAUUUCUCCACAAGCCAUCAAUCUUUUUAAAAUUAUGCCUUCUCAAUUACCAUAGUAACUUAAUGGAUACGAUGAUGAUGAUUUGGAAAGUAUUUUUGUCCCACAUGCAGCAACCUAAGCUAUGCUUAUCUAGCACAUGUGUUUAAAUUGCACAUGUGCAGAAGCCAGGACUAUUAGAAGAAAACAGUCCUUCCAGUUUUAAGAACAGAGAUGAAUCCAAGCAGCAUAGUUCUGAUUUAAAACAGACAUUUGGGCUAUUCACUUGUAGUGUUUGAUUUAAGCUCCGAUCUAUUGCAUAUGCUACCCUAGCCUAUCAGCUUCGUUACUAAUUACUGUAUGCAACAGAGUUUAUGACUAAAUCUUAAGAUUUGCCUUUGAUGGUGACUUUUUAUUUGCUCUUUUGUUGAAAGCAACAUUAAUUUUCCCAGUUCUGAAGGAUUCUCUUUCAGUCAAAGGAUUUCAGCAAGAGGUUAUUUAUAUCCAAUUGGUUCCUUAAAUGGAAAACAAUGCUGUUCCAUUUCUGUAAUGCAUUUAUAAUUCCUGUCAGCUGGUGCAGUAUGUGUGUGUUUGUGUGUGCGUGCAAGCAAGCCCAUGCAUGUAUUUGUGUGUUUAAAGAGUAUAAACCAAUCGCUGAAGAAUAAGGAUUGAAUUUUGUGUAUGCUUCACAAUAUACAUUUUCACAGACGGUUUCAAAUCAUAUGAUUUGUAUGGCUUACGAAUCAUUUACCCAAGGAAGCAAGACUCACAUAGAACAUCUGGUUUUCAGUGUGUUCCCAGUUUUUGCUUUCUUUGGGGGCAAACUGAUUGAGACAUAAGGACACCAGGUGACUUAAGGUCACAUACUGGGAAUGUGACACAGCUGGUAUUAAACCUAAGAUGCUUUCAGCCUAAUCAUUAAUGGCCAUUUUUUAUUCCCUUCAUGACACCGGAAUGUAAUUACUUGCAUAAGCAAUACCAAUGGAAUGAGUGGAUUUAGUCAUAGCAAUAACUGCUUUACAUAUUAAUGUAUUACAAACGUUUCUGUCAACUUUUUCACACAAUUUUUUUUUAAGUGGGGGGAGCUGGCAAUUUAGAUUUACAGCUCAUAGCCUGCGGACCCAGACAGCACUUUUGUUAUGAAGUUGCCAUAUAUUCUAAACAAAACAUUGCAUUUUUAUUUUUAUGUGUGUUUUGUCCUCUCAAGAACUUGGGGUACUUCAAACCUUUGCAAUUGUGGUGUGGAAUGUGGUUUAGUGUUCCUGGUACUCUGUGGUUAUAAUUCGUGAUGCAGAGUUAGUUAAAUAGCUCCUCCAUUGGUUUUUCAGUAGCUUGCUCAAAUACGGUAGGCGAUUUGGUACACGUUAUUGGCAGUUGUUUUCUCUCCCACUUCCUUCAUCCUAAUGAAAUCUCGAUACUUCACGCCAGUUUGUAUGCUUUACUAUUUCCUUGGACAUCCUUCUGUGAUCUCAUAUAGACAGCAAGUGACACUUGGACGAAGCUGCUUGCAUAAUAGGAUAUGCAUCUUUCAGAAUUUAAGAGGGAAAAGUAGGGUGCUGCUGAUAAAUGAAACUACCACCUCCUACUCGGUACUAAAGGAUUGGAAGGUCAUCCCACUAACCAUAGCCUGAUUUGAGCUAAUCAGUUUUAUGGAAUUAACAUCAUGUGAACCAGCAGAGCAGGGCCUUGCAUGUUUGCCCCACCCAUUGUGGCACCCGUUGUAUGUCCCUCCCCAGUGUUGCUUCUGCCUUUGGAUGUAUGCAGCAUGACAUCCUACUGACUGUGAGUCCUGCAUUAAGCUGUCUCUAGGAGUGCUAUGGGGCUCAGCUUUUGGACCAUUCCAUAAUGAUAAUUUUACUAUUUAUACUCCACACAUCUUACUGGGUUGCCCCAGCCACUCUGGACAGCUUCUAACAUAUAUAAAAACAUAAUAAAACAUUAAACAUUAAAAAAAAACACUCCCCUAUACACUUGCCUUCAGAUGGCUCAGGGGUUGGAUAACUCAUACCCUCCAACAUUUCUCCAAUGAAAAUAGGGACAUCUUAAGGAGAAGUGAGACAUUCCAGGAUCAAAUCAGAAACCAGGAUGGCUUCUCUAAAUCAGGGACGUCCCUGGAAAAUAGGGACACUUGGAGGGUCUGCAUUCUCCCAAAUGUGCAAAAAGUGUUGGUGCAAUGGGGAGGGCAAGGUCAGCAAGCACAAUCCUGUGCUUCUGCCUCAUGAGUGUAGCUGAACACCUAAAUCAAGAUUAUGCAUCAUAGUAAAUGUUAGAAUUUCAAUUAAAGGCAAUGCUUACCAAAAAUGUAAGACGUAUGAGGUCAGCAUGUAAUUUUGGAGCCAGGGUAGCAGUUAGAAAGUUAGACCAGGAUUAACGAGGCCCAGGGUUCAAAUAUCUUCCCACCUAUGUGUGAGCUUAGGUGAGUCACUCACUUCCUCUCAGCCUAGCAUAUGUCACAGGGUUGUCAUGAGAAAAAAGUGUGAAGAUGUGUAUGGGGGUAGGGGGCUGACCAUGUACAGUGGUACCUCGAGUUACAAACGCCUCAGGUUACAAACGCUUCAGGUUACAAACUCCACUAACCUGGAAGUGUUACCUCGAGUUGAGAACUUUGCCUCAGGAUGAGAAUGAAAAUCAUGUGCCGGUGGCAGCAAGAGGCCCCAUUAGUGAAAGCACGCCUCUUGUUAAGAACAGUUCCACGUUAAGAACAGACCUCCGGAAUGAAUUAAGCUCGUAACUAGAGGUGCCACUGUACAUUCAGCAGCAGAGCAAGCGUCUGGGGCGGUGCGCGUGCCCUGCAUCCAGGGGCGGGGCCAGCCACCCGUGGGGGUGGGGCCAGCCACCUGCGGGAUGGGGCGAGCUGGGGCAGGACAAUCCGUGGGGCCUCCGAGGAGUCUGCCUGCGUCCUCCCACUCAGCCGCCCUACAGCUGGGAGGAAGGCAGCGGGCGGACCAUUUGGGGCAGCAGGGAGGCGACGGGUGCCCAAGCCACAGUGUUACUCCCAGGAGAGAUGCAUAGCUCAGGCAUGCUACAAGCCCUGUGGUGAGUGCCACCUGGCAUUUUGUCAUUCCCUCAGGGGUGACACCCAGGGCGACCCGCCUCUACUGCACCCCCCUUCCUCUGCUCCUGUGUACAUUUCCUUAACUAUUUGGAGAAAAAGUGGGAUAUAAAUGUAAUGUGCAAACAAUAGCCCUUUCUCCAUGCUGUUCUGAUUAAAAGUGCACUCUUUCCGUAUUAUAAUAGCCUCUACAGAGUGGGAGGAAAUAGACAGGGGCAAUAUAGAUACCUAUCAUUUUCUUCCAUUGGUGGCAAUAGCAAGUUCGGGGCGUGUAAUUUUGAUUGUGAAAAUGGAACUGUUGGUUGGCAUCCAACAGUCUUGGGAGACAAUGGAGGAGCACAGCAAAGGAAUUCAGCAUUGCUCUCCCAUUGCUGCUUCCUGAAGCCAAUUCAUGGCUUUUUUUAAGUUUGCUGUUUUAAAAUGUUUUAAAGACAUGUGAAAUGUGACACCACCCCCCCAACUAAGAGGACAGGUCGUAUAGAAAUGAAUAAGAGGGUUAUGUGCCAGUCAAAGCAAAAAUAAAAUUAGUUAAAUCACAAUGGUGAUCCUCAUUUGGCUCCUACCUUACUAACAUGUGGAACUGCACUAAACCCCAACAUUCCCUUUAGUUCUACUUUAGAUCAGGAAAAAGGAUAAGAACAAGCAUAAGAACACCAGAUGUUGCAGUGGAUGUGUGCAGUUCUACACCUUUAGUUUCAUUAUCGUCCUAUGUCCUUGAGCCCUACCAAUAGCCAAAUAAAACCAUGCUGCUUUUCCAAAUCAACACAUUCAAGCAUUCCACUGUAUCUGCAACCAAUUAGUCAAAAAUGGUACCAAUUUAAGCUAUAAUCGUCUUAAUCUUCCUAUGCUGGUAAAUUCCUAAAUCCAGAUUCAAUAUUUUGACAGUCCAUUUAUUUUAUUUGAGAACACUGGCAUUCUAUAUAGCAACAUAGUGGAGGACACACAGUGAGUCCUUUAAUAGAGCACAGAAUUGGUUGGGUAUUAUUUAAACAAAUAGGGGGAAAGAUAGGAAUCAGGUUUAGUUUGUUUGUUUGUUUGUUUGUUUGUUUGUUUGUUUGCUUGCUUGUUUGUUUCCAAAGUUGAUAACCGAUCACUGAUUACCCAGAUGUAAUAUCUGGCUUGGUCUUUAGUUACACCUGCUCAAAGCCUAGAACAAUCAACAUUAGAUUGAAAUGUUCCUAUCAUGUACACCCAGUGUAAGUAGGUCAAUAGCAGUGUUAAUAAAUUUUGUGACAGUCUAAGUUGAGCUUUCAAAGCUUGCACUGACUCUUCAGUAUGAACAUGCAGUCUUAAAAAAAAGAGCCCAAUAUUUAUUGUCAAGACUCUGAGGUUCUUCUGAUACAACAAGCAGUAAAAUAUGCACAUAUGUGCAAGUUAUGUUUGCCAAUCUAAAUACAGGCUGCACAUGAGUGGAAAGCUUCAUCAUAUCUGAAGGAAAAUAUGUAAAAAAUAAACUAAGAGCUUCAUAUUUUUUCCAAGAAAUUACUUUCCUUGGUUGAUGCUUUUAACUGUUCUCAUAUUCCUGCAUUUUCCAAGGGCCAAACUACAUAUUACAUGGAGAUCUGUGACAGAAUCACACAACUUUCUAUUUUUACUUUAAUUCAGCCGCAGAAGGGUUGCCUAUUUGAUUUGAACACCAAUGCUUCAGAAAGAGAUGCUUAACUCCAUCCUGCCAUUCUUAUUGAAUUCCUUCUUCUGCCCAAGGCUGCCAUUAGGCUUGUGGGAAAGGGAAAUAAUAAGCCUACCUAGGUUUUAAUCAGCAGCACAUCAUAGAGGGAAGAGACCUGCUUCCCCCAGUGCAGCUGCUCUGAUCUAGCUUGUACCACCACCACCACCACCACCAUGCACAGAAAUAUUAUUUUUAAAAUGUUGGGAGAACCCACCACAAUUUUUCUGCGAAACGCAUGGUAAGUCCCUUAAUUAGUGAAGUGCACAAUAACACUAGCAAUUUAAGGUGCUCUACACCUGAAGUACAUUUUUUGGUUAUUACAAAAGAAAAAUAUUUCUCAGCAGUGCUGGGGUUGAGAUAUGCCUGUUUCUUGCAUCUAAUAAAACAUCUGUGUUGUUUAAUCGUUUAGUCGUGUCUGACUCUUCAUGACCCCAUGGACCAGAGCACGCCAGGCACUUCUGUCUUCCACUGCCUCCCGCAGUUUGGUCAAACUCAUGCUGGUAGCUUCGAAGACACUAUCCAACCAUCUCAUCCUCUGUCGUCCCCUUCUCCUUGUGCCCUCCAUCUUUCCCAACAUCAGGGUCUUUUCCAGAGAGUCUUCUCUUCUCAUGAGGUGGCCAAAGUACUGGAGCCUCAGCUUCAGGAUCUGUCCUUCCAGUGAGCACUCAGGGCUGAUUUCCUUAAGAAUGGAGAGGUUUGAUCUUCUUGCAGUCCAUGGGACUCUCAAGAGUCUCCUCCAGCACCAUAAUUCAAAAGCAUAAAUUCUUUGGCGAUCAGCCUUCUUUAUGGUCCAGCUCUCAUUUCCAUACAUCACUACUGGGAAAACCAUAGCUUUUACUAUACGGACCUUUGUUGGCAAGGUGAUGUCUCUCCUUUUUAAGAUGCUGUCUAGGUUUGUCAUUGCUUUUCUCCCAAGAAGCAGGCGUCUCUUAAUUUUGUGGCUGCUGUCGCCAUCUGCAGUGAAAUAAAACAUCUACUGUGUUUAAUUUGUUGGAAGCCACUCAGAGUGGUUGGGGGAACCCAGUCAGAUGGGCAGCAUAUAAAUAAUAAAUUGUUGUUGUUGUUAUUACUGCCAAUAAUGACAUAUAAACCUAAUUUCUAGAAUCCAAAUGUUGGCAUUUCCAUGAGUGGCACUAUGAACGUGCUGCGUGUAAGAAGUUGAUUGACUGAUUGAUUGAUUGAUUGAUUGAUUGAUACACACUACAGUGGUUAAUAGGAAAUUGAGUUUCCCUUUAGAGUAGUGUCAUGGCUGAUGUGUUUCUUUUCAUCAUAGCCACCUGUGCUUAGAAUGUACCUCACCCUCUGUUUCUUAGCUGCUGACAGACUCUCUACCAGAGGAAAAGACUGAGAUUUGGGUGUGCAUCAUCGUGCCUUUGUUAUCUCUGUCAACUUCCCCAGAUUCCAUGCCUUCAGUCGUUCCCGCAGUGGAAUGUGUGAAUGAACUUGCAGGGGUACCUAAACGAGGGCAAAAUGAUUGAUCACAUUUCUUUUCCCUGGCCUCUGAAAGGCUCUUCUAUCAAUCACUUAAAAACUUUGCUGGGCCAAGGACUUAGGCAUGCAAUUAACUUAAAUGGUUCCAGUUGGUUUCCGUAUAAAUAUUUACCCAUUUAAAUUUGAACUUCAACGUAAUAUCUUGUGUAACCUGCACUUUGUAGUGAAAAGACCCUGGCUGUGUGUGCAUUGGAACUUCUCUCACAUUGGGCCAUGGUCACUCCCAAAGUUCCCACACUUGGGCAGGUAGAUGAUUCGUAUCUGGUAUCCUAUCCUGGAAGGCUUGCUAGUUUUCCUGGCUAAGGAGAACUCAGAUGGCACCUGGUUGAUCCACAGCACUGAUGAUAGCAUCUCCCUCUCUGACAAUGACAGCUAGUUAGGAGACAUUUGCUUGCAUUUGUUGGAGCUUCCUGUGCUUUCACAAAACCAAGAGAAAGAGAGUUCUCAGAAGUGCGAAAAACAAUUUAUUUAAAAGGCCAAUGUAGUUUUGAGGAAUUCCUUAGUCAGGGGUAUCUUUAAAAAGAGAGAGAUGUACAAAAUUAUAAAAAAUAAUCUUUGAAGCAAUUGAACAAGGGGCUAAAAAUCUAUACAAAUGAAAAUGUAACAUUCCUGAACAUGCAUGUAUACACUGCAGACGUGGUUAUAUUAUCUUUUUACAUCUCCAUACAUGAAGCUGGCCUCCUAGGACUACAAGAUGUCACCAAAAGAUUUGUUGGUUUGGCAAUGCAGGCAGAUGUACUGAGAGGGCUGCAUGUCCUCAGUGGUAUUUUGGCAUCAGAUGGGGGUGUGGUUUGGAGAUUAUUGGGGGUAGCCUCUCUGUGAGCCCUGUUCCAGCCUGUUCAGGGUGGCUAAGGACUAUGGGAAAGCCCCAUUGCUAAAGCAGAAGGCUUCCGCUGAUGUUCUUAUUAGGUGAACCCUGCCUUUCCUGAGCAUUGUGAACAACUUUUUCUCUCCUACACAGCCCUGGUUUCAAACAUCAGGAUUUUCCAGGUAUCUUAUUCAUAUUUGAAAGCUUGGGGGGGGGGGCGGGGCGGACAACACCACUUCGGCUUCCAUGCAAUACACAUUUUCUAUUAUCUCACAACUAACAAAUAUUUGUUAUUAUUAUGAUUAUUUUAUUAUUAGGCUGUAUGCUUUUCACUAUGUUUUUAUUAUACUUUCAUCAUUGAUGUUUUGUAAUGUGUUUCUAAGGCUAUACACCACCCUGAGAUAAAGGGUGGUAUAUAAAGUGAAUAAAUAAAUUAAACAACAACAACAGCAACAACAACAAUAAUAAUAUAACUAUGUUCAUGUUGAAAUCAAUACUCUGUAAGUUUUUCCACAGUUCCUAAAAGAAACAUAUUUUCCGCCAAGAACCCUUGUAAAUUUCAGUAACACAUUUUUACUCCAAAUAUGGGUUUAAUUUAGUUUUAAUAAAAUAUUUAUAGCACAGCACAUUCACCAAAUACUAGCUGAUUAUUACAACCUGUUGAGAAUUAGCACCUCCGUAACUUUUACUGGAGAUACUAUCAUAAGCCUUUUAACUACUCCAUCACAAUUCAGAUUCUGAGCAAUAUUAAAGAGCUAAUACAUCUCCUUUGCCUUAGCCCUCAUGCCAUGGAGGAAAUGAACCAGGCCAUGACCUAUUGGAAGAAAAGCUAGCUCAAUCUGGGGAGAAAGCCCUUCCUAAACUUAUCACUGAUACUCUGGGCAUGAGUGACUGAGUCUGCAUCCAGUCCGUAUGAUUUCAAUAAUGAUUUCUUUGAGCACAUUUCCCAGACAUGAAAUUAUUUGGGAAUCUGAAAUUCUAUACUAAAAAUAGAAAGUAUAAUGAGGGGGUGCUUAUUUAAUUAUUUGUCUAUUCUUCGGCACAAAUCUAUUCAGUGUUGAUGUGGAUCAAAAACUAGGGCUAUGGCAAUUAAAAUAUCUGAUGUUUAUAUAUAUAUUUACUCUCAAGUAAACCCUACUGUGCUCAGUGGGCUUUCUCCCAAGAAAGUGUGCAGGGGAGGAUUUCACAUGCAUUUACGCCCUAUUAAUUUCAAUAAGAGAGUCAAUCUAGUGCUUAAAUAUCACAUAUUAACCACCAAGUUCUGUGAUCAGAAUAAAUCGUACAAAUUAAGUACAGCUGCAAAAAUGUAUAUAACAUAAUUUAUCCUAACUAUAGCAUGUGAAAGUUCAUGAAAUGUGAAACUUUUUGGCAAGGGUUGCAGUGACACAGAGGAGAAGGAGAGAGGACGGAGACAGGUUUCCACAGGGUACAAAAUAACGGGACAAAGCCUUUCCACUAUGACAAUGAUUCUCAAACUUUUUUGUUUUCAUUUUGUUUUGUUGUAGCACUCCAGGAUUGCUGGGUGUCAGUAGCGAGGGAGGCUGGCUACAUAGGCUAAAUGACAAAAUGCACUCUAUGAAAAACAAGCACAGCUGACAAAAUUUAUGUCCAUAAUCUGUAUACCACUUUAUUACAAUAAUCUUUAGGCGGUGUAAAGGUAAAAGGGUUAGGCAGAAGAGAUGAAGGCAGAAGAGAAGCUCGUGCAUUUCUGGUUCAAUACCCAGUAUCUCAAGGUAAAGGUAAAGAUAAAGGGACCCCUGACCAUUAGGUCCAGUCGCGGACAACUCUGGUGUUGCGGUGCUCAUCUCGCUUUAUUGGCCGAGGGAGCCAGCGUACAGCUUCCGGGUCAUGUGGCCAGCAUGACUAAGCCCCUUCUGGCGAACCAGAGCAGCACAUGGAAACGCCGUUUACCUUCCUGCCGGAGCGGUACCUAUUUAUCUACUUGCACUUUCACGUGCUUUCAAACUGCUAGGUGGCAGGAGCUGGGACCGAGCAACAGGAGCUCACCCCGUCGCAGGGAUUCGAACCGCCAACCUUCUGAUCGGCAAGUCCUAGGCUCUGUGGUUUAACCCACAGCGCCACCUGCUUCCCCUUUAAGUGGUGUACAAGACACUUAAUAGAAUAAAAAUAAAGAUGAGUUAAAACUAUAAAAUCGGAAUUCACUUAAAAUACCUGCUGGAAUGAAAAAAGUAUUUAAUAUUUAGUAAGCAGAAAUGGUUUAACAGGGAAGGGGCCUGUCUUGACUUCAACUGAAAGAGGAGUUCUAUAAAAUUGGAUCCACAAUAAUGAACACAUAACUCCUGGUGGAUCCGCAUCAUCCAGUUUGAGGAAGGGUGACAUGUUGCUUCUGGAUUUUUAUUUUAUUUUAUUUAUACUUGACAAGGUGGGAUGUGUGCAGAGGAGGGCUACCAAGAUGAUAAAGGGUCUGGAAACCAAGCUAUGUGAGGAAUGGUUGAGGGAGCUACCUUCCAAGGGAAUCCGUGGUGAAGGGCUAGAUUUCCCUGUCCAAGAUCUUUGCAAAUACAGACUUUUUUUACCUUCACAGACUCUAAAUGUAGUUCAGUAAGUAGGACACCUGAUUCUUCAUUAUAUCUACAGGUUGCUUGAAUUUGAACCAGUCAGAUGUUAUAGGGAGCUCAGAUAAAUGUGAAGUUGAUAGCAUUCCCCUGUUGUUUGGUCAAUACAUGGUGGCUCUAUGGUUAAUGGUGUAAGUCAGGCAUAGGCAAACUCGACCCUCCAGACGUCUUGGGACUACAACUCCCAUCAUCCCUGACCACUGGUCCUGUUAGCUAGGGAUCAUGGGAGUUGUAGUCCCAAAACAUCUGGAGGGCCGAGUUUGCCUAUGCCUGGUAUAAGUGAAACUUUCUAUGCAAUGGUUGGAGGAAUUUGUCUAUCUGUCAUGGUGUUUGAUACAUGAACUCCUCCCACCCGCCAAUCUGCCACCGUGGUGUAGCUGUUACAAGUGUUGGACUAUUUAAACCUGAUGUGGACUGGACAGUCCUUCAGACAGAGGACCCCUUAAAAUAGAGGCUUGCCCUUUGUAAAGUAGGACACAUGGCCACUCAACAUGAGAAUAGUGACAAAGUGGCAAUCAAGAAUUGUCCAAAGACAAAUCUGUCAACUGUCUAAUGGCUAAGGUACACAUCACCAAAUAUAUUAUAGUCUGCUUUUAAGAGACCUACCGUGCAUUAGACAAAACAUGAGAAUUAUCAGACAAAACAGCGGGGCAAAACUUACAUUUCCUUUGCACAAUAUCUGCUUUCAUUGUUGAUCUUAGACUGACAACUUCUUUUAGUUUGCUGCCUGAAAAAUGAAGAUUAUUUCUCUCAGCACUGAAGCCAGAAUAUGGCGCUUCAGUAAAUCAAAUCAGUCACAACAUGCACAGCUCUGCACUACAGUUUGAUAACAUCAAGCCAUUCAGUCUUCAAAAUACCUGCUAGCAAGUCGGCAACAGGAAGCUGUUGAACCGUUGCAUGAAAGACUGAUAGAAUCACAGCAUGCUGCUCAUAAAAAGCAUAAUAAAUUAUUAUUUCUCUUACACGACUGUUUUCUAAGUGGUAUUUCACUACCCAAAGAAAUAAUAGAAGAAACCUUUGUUUCAAAACUGGAACAAGGUGCUUAAAUCAUUCUUAAAUUAUAGCUUGAAUUUGAAAUGCUUUAAGUCAUAGUACUGCGGAAGCCUUCAACAAUAGAGUCCCUAGCUUAGAAAAGGGAGCCUUUAAUGUGCUUGCCAGUGUACAAUUAUUUUAAGCAAAAAUAACAAUAGCACAUGAUACCCUCAUGCUGACUGUUCUGAACUUUUAACCAUGCUGAAGAUGUUCUGAGUUAUUGCCAAAACCUUUCUGCAACCUGUUAAGUAUAUGCUGUUAUUUACUGUGCUGCUGUAUGCAAUUUUGCAAGGGGAUUUAGCUUAGAUUAACCAUUAUGAAAGCAGUUCAUUCAAUGGGCCCUGUUUAAAAUGUUCUGUAAAGAAACUAUUACAAAGGUUUGGCUGUUUUUCUUUUCAGAAUGGUGAAAGAUGGCCCCCAGCAAGCGAGGCAAAAGACAAUACAGCUACAAAAGCCGUUGGGCUAGGCUCCCUGACCACCAUGUUGGCGCUGGCCCCAUUGCUUUCAGAAUCAGCCCACAGAUAGAGGAAAAGAAUUAAAACCUAGGCACUUUAAAAUUACUCUGUUCCAGUGUGAAAUAUACUGGGAGUCCUGCAGUGAUUUCAUGCUCUUUAUUGCAGCUUAUAAAACAGUGAUUAAAUUUCCCCCCAAACCUCAGGCCUUUAUGUACAUUAUCUACACAAUGAGUCCCAUCUGAUUGGCUGAUUCUGCUUCCCUCCUGGAGCCUGAUUGGUCUUCUCCUGCAAGCCAGUCAGAUGUUGCAUUCUAGGAUCCUACCUGCCUAUUGUUCUAGGAUCCAAGCUUAGUACAUAACACAAGUGCUUAAUGCAAAAUGUCCAAAUGGGCAGAGGCGUAGCUGGGGGGCGGGGACUGGGCGCCACACCAUGGGGAACGGCACUUAUCAUGGGGCCUGCAGCACUCCUGAGCCACAUUUCUCUCCUGGGAGUGGUGCAGCGGCUCGGACACCUGCAGGCUCCACGCUGCCUGAAACGGCAGCGUAAGGCUUGCUUCUGCCCACUUCCUCCCCUUCAGACACCCUACAGCUGAGGGGCAGGCAGUGGGUGGACUGCCUGAAGGCUCUGCGCUGCUCAAAAAAGCAACUUGGGCCUGCAGGAUGCCGGAGUGGAACGUGGCUCGGGCACUGGGAUUCUGGCGCGCCCUGACCCGUCCUGCCCUGCGGAUGCCCAUAAGUCAGGGAGUGCCAAUGUGCUCAUGUCCUGCUUGUGAGCAUCACACAGGCACCUGGUUGUCUGCUGUGAGACUAGGACACUCGACUUAGAUGGGCCCUUGGCCUGAUCUAGCAGGGAUCUCGCAUUAUUUCCCAGGACAAAUCAUGCUGGGCACUUGUAAAAUCUGACGCAGAUGAUGUGCUAAUAGUUUGAGAAUUCCAUUUACUUUAUCACAUCUUUCUAGUCUGUUAGGAAUCAUUCAGGCAUAGCAGUUUCUUUAAUUUAUUUGGUAACAUUGUGAUGCUUGAAGCUCCUCUGGAAUGUCAUUCCGGGGCUUUCUGUCAACCCUUCUUGAAAAGUUUAAGGACACGCUGGUAUCUUUUACCUUUUCAAUUUGUGGGGGGCUUGGAAUAGCUCCCUUAAGUAACAUUGCAAGAAACUGGAGCAUAUCUGAGUUAAUAAGCAGCCUUAUUAAGCCUUUUAACAACAGGUUUCUUUCACUGCUCUGGCAUGUCAGUGAUUAUUCUAAUGCUGAUGCUUGAUGUGGAGGACUGAAUAAUGACAGCAGGUACCCGCUGGAGGCAAUGGUUUUCUUUAAACUGGCCUCCAAUUAAUUAUGCUCAGCAGGUUCAAAGGUCAAAAGCAUGGACUUCUGUGAUUGGGCACCUUGCAUAGAGUGCGUGGUCCUCGGAGGAGCAGUUGACAUAUUUGAUUUUUCCCACACACAAACUGUUGGUACAAGAUGUAAUCUACAGAAUGAAAGGACUGGGCAGGGUGAUUGGGACAGUUCCUCCCAGAGGGUUAGAACUGCUACCCUAAUCGUAAUGUUCACUUUCCUUGGCCCCAGGACAGGUGAGGUGUCAAGCUACAAAGAGGCACACAUGGAAAUGAAUAAGGAUUAAGCCACCUUGAUUACGAAUAUAUCACUGUGACAACGAUAGUGUAGUUGAGUGGGGGUUGGAGGAAGAGAGAGAGGAAAUCAGAGUUAGUGUUAAACAAAAUAGGGGAAAAAAUCCAUUUAUUUCUCUCUCUUUUGAGAAUGUGGCCUCAUUUCCUUUCUGGGCUACUUGGUUCAUUUCUAAAAGUAUUGCUUGAUCUUAAGCCCAAUUGAAUCAAUGGCACAAUCUAUUCAGGCACCACAGUUAGAACAUUCUGUUCCCUAUUUCAAAUGCAGUUUGAAUCUUCAUUGCAAACUAUGUAAAGACUGGAAUAUUAAAAGACUGGAAUACCAGUUUGCUAAAUUUCAGUUUUCCUCUGAUGUUAGGGUUGAAAAUCCGGAAACAAAAGUUGUUGAGCUGUUUUAAGUUUAGUCCAAAGCUGUUCAUCUUUUUUUGCAAGAUCUCAAAAGAAGAAGUUUCUAAGUUAUUUUAAAGGAAAUUCGCCAAAAUCUACUUCCAAAAUGGGUUGCCAUACAUCUGGAUUUCCCCAGUCAUUUAACCCUAUCUGUUGUUAUUAUUUUAGCAACAACACAUAAAAAAUGCUUUCUAAAGAAAUUGUUUCAAGGGCAAAAAUUUACACAGACUUCUAUCAGCCAGUGGCUGUAUUAGGGCAUCAUGAUAAACCAUGGUUUAUUAUGUGAGAAGUGAGCAUGCCUAGCCUGUCCCUGCAGUUCAUACUUUCUCCCCCUUUCCCUUUGCUGUGGCCUCGAGGAGGAAAUUGGAAGGUUUUACUUCCAAUCCAGUUAUCCACAAUUUAGCAUUACAUUUGAACCCUAAACUGUGGUUAAUCUUAACUAUGGUUGAAUAAAGUCAGCUUCCUAAACCAUGGUUUGAAAUUGUCUUGUUUUUUAAAAACACAGUUUAAAUUAAACAGUUUGUCAGAUUUAGAUAACAUGGUGAAACACAGUAAAUUAAAAACAGUAGUGAAAUCUUCUGAACCUCUCAUUGUGGCUGCACUGGAAGAAAGAAGGAAGCAUGAGAAUUGGGGGGGGGUGUCAGGUGCUUGGCUUGUUUCCCUCAUGAUACACCAUGAUAAACAUCUUCCACUCUGGUUCUGGAUUAUAACCUACUAUUGCUAACUGACAGUGUGAACAGAGCAUUACUCAAAUAGUCAGGUACUGAAUAUUCACCUGGAAUCUAUUUAACUGGCCCCCAGUUCCCCUGAUAUCUUAAGCGUUGUGCUAGAUGAAACCGGUAUAGAACUUUUCAGUCUGUUUUUAAUCUCUCAUAUAUAUAUAUAUAUAUAAUUUUAAAGGCCCAGUAUUUUGAUAAAUUGCCACCAGUGUCCUUUAUGUGGUGGCAACUGGGAAGGAGGAAAAAAAGAGAGCAUGAUUUCUGAAAAUAUAAAUUGAUCAUUAUUCAUAUAGCUAGUCAGUCUGAACUAAAACCUUCUGGUUGAAAACAAAAGAAUUUUUAGGGAAGUCAGUCUGGAUCUAUAACCAGAUUUGCCUCAGAUUUUAAAUGACAUCAUUAUCCAGGCACCAUCUCUGUAAAUCAAUGGCUUUAUUUCAAAUCUGAAGAAAAUGGCCUUCUAUUUGCGGUUUAGACAGUGACGGAUCCUAAAUACUCAAAUGCUAACCAUAACAACAUCAGGGGUUUCGGCCACAUCUGAAAUCACCCCUAACAAAAUAAAAAGUAAGGCAAAUUACAUUUCCAGCACACACACAUACAACUAGCAAUGUGUCCUAUAGUAAACUAGCAAGUGUUUAUACUACAAUUGCUUGUGCAUUAAUAUUUACACUGCCAUUCAAUCUCAUCAGGACUACUAAGAGUUUUCUAAAAUUUAGCAAUCAUUCAAACCGGAUUUUGUUUUGUGUUGGCUGAAUUACAUGUCAAGAUUUCUAACUAGAAAUGUGUUUGUUUUGACAUCAGCUUCAUAAUAUGUCCAGUGAUAAUGCCCCUCAUAUUUGGAUAUUUAAUUUUUUAUUUUAUUUUAAAAGAAAUGCUUAAUUUCCCCCUCUCUUGAAGUGUUAAAUUAAUUUUCUCAAACAAUUAAAUGUAACAGAUGAGAAAAGGCCAGGACUCAGUGGAAGAAUUUACAGUGUUGAUACACAUGUGUGACAGAGUGCACAUUUUGCAUGAAAAGGUCCCAGGUUCAAUCCAGGUCUCUCAAGGUAACCUGGGAAGGACUCCUGUCCAAAACCCAGGAGAGCCGCUGCUAGUUUGUGUAGGCAGUGCUAAGCUUGACCAAUGGACCAGUGGUCUGGCUGAGUAUAAGGCAGCUUUAGAUGGUCCUUCCUAAGUACCAUGGCCAAAUACAACACAUUAUUAUUAUUAUUAUUAUUAUUAUUACUACUACUAUUUAAAGGUAAGGUAAAGGACCCCUGGACGGUCAAGUCCAGUCAAAGGCAACUAUGGGGUGUGGCGCUCAUCUUGCUUUCAGGCCAAGGGAGCCAGUGUUUGUCCACAGAGAGCUUUCCAGGUCAUGUGGUCAGCAUGAUUAAACUGUUUCUGGUGCAACAGAACACUGUGACAGAAGCCAGAGCGCACAGAAAUGCUGUUUACCUUCCCACCACAGCAGUACCUAUUUAUCUACUUGCACUGGCAUGCUUUCGAAUUGCUAGGUUGGCAGGAGCUGGGACCGAGCAACGGGUGCUCACCCUGUUGCGGGGAUGCGAACUGCCGACCUGAUCGGCAAGCCCAAGAGGCUCAGUGGUUUAGACCACAGCGCCACCCAUGUCCCAUAUUACUGUGCACAAUCACAUGGGCAUUAAUCCCCCUUUUAACCAUGAUUGCUCCUGUAGGUUCUCCACUGUGAUGUCAAAAGGAUCCUCCCCCCAAUGUUUCAAUUACAAAAUUUAAUGUGGCGGUGGCGGUUCAUGUGGCCUCCCUCUCUUCAAAAAAGUCCUUUAUUUAAAAUAUGAAAAUUAAAGUUUUAAACUAAAUGUAAUAAAUAUUUUCAUUAAUAUAGACAGGCAAAUAGGGAAGUCCUUUGGAGGGCAGCCUGGAGUUCUUCAUGUCCAUGUUGACAAUUUGACUAUGCUCACGUUGACAUGCAGUUCUUGAAGGGUUGACUAUAGGUCAGUUGUUAGUCUUACAAAAUUAGCCAGCCCUGCUCUAAUGGAUACAUAUGCAGCACAGUGCACCAGCCGUUACCCAGCAUGGAGGGCCUGCCUAAACCCCUCUGAGAAUUCAUCAAGGGAAUAUAUAUUUUUAUACAAAUAAAGCAAAGGCAGUUGGAACACGUUCAUCUAACACCUCUUGAUGGUGGUGGUCAAAAAUAGUCUGAGCCUCAAAUUGGCAGAUUUCACUUCCACAUCUUUGGGUGGCCUUCAGGGAUUAGCAGAUUCGAGCGGCCGUGGUUUAAGCAUACUUCUAAAUGAACCUUGGAGUCUCAGAUGGUUUUCAAAUGCCUUUUUCAAAGGGAUGACAGAAGAACACAUUCUGCUUGCCUUCAUUUGUGUGUAAAGAUGUAUCUUGUUGGAAGGAGUUGCCCUUAUUUCUUUAUUUAGAGAAUGUAUAGUAUAUACCACACAUUAUUGGGGAAUGGGGGAGGUCCUAGGUUAAAAGGUAAAGGGUAAAGGGACCCCUGACAGUUAAGUCCAGUCGCAGAUGACUCUGGGGUUGUGGUGUUCAUCUCACUUUACAGGCCGAGGGAGCUGGCGUUUGUCCGCUCUGCAGGCAGUUUUUUGGGGUCAUGUGGCCAGCAUGACUAAGCUGCUUCUGGCGCAACGGAACACUGAAACCAGAGCAGUGCAUAGAAACACCGUUUACUUUCCCACCAGAGCGGUACCUAUUAAUCUACUUGCACUUUUUGGCCUACUUUCGAACUGCUAGGUUGGCAGGAGCUGGGACUGAACAACAGGAGCUCACCCCGUAGUGGAGAUUUGAACCACCGACCUUUUGAUCAGCAACCCCAAGGCUCAGUGGUUUAGACCACAGCGCCACCCGCGGCCCGGUCCUAGGUUGGUUUACAUUUUUAAAAAUGCAAUACAGUCAUACCUCGUGUUGCGUUCUGCUCUUGUUACAGACUUUAAGCUUAUGAACGUGGCAAACCUGGAAGUGUUUACUUCCAGGUUCACCCCCCGAACAUAGGCAGAAGUGAUCUGCACGCUUUGCACACGUGCAGAAGCACUCGAUUACGCCGUGCACAUGCACAGAAGUGGCGCUCUAGUUGAGGACUUUUCGCACCCUGAAACGGAUUAAGUCCGCAAUUAGAGGUACCACUGUAUGAAUAUAAAAUACAAUCAGCAUAAAAAUGGAAUGCUAAUUAAACACAACAGAGAGGUGUUGCCCGACACCUAAACAGCAAAAGUGUCAGGUGGGUCCCUCUGGGAGAAAACUUCACUGAUGGGGUGCACAACUAAAACACCCCUUUCUUGAACACCACAAACCUUCCCUCCAGUGGUGGGGGGCCCUGAAGAAAAGCAUGGACAGAUUAUUUUGCUAUCUAGGCAGGUUGAUAUGAAUCAAAGGUGAUCCAUAAAAUACCCGAGGCCCAAGCCAUUUUGAGCCUUAGACUGUAACAUUGAAUGGUCAUGUUGGAGAUGAACCAGCAGUCAGUGAAGUUCUCUGCGAUACUGGUGAGGAAUGUUCCCAGUAACCUAUACCAGGUAAAAGUUUUAUAGCCACAUUCUGCACUAGCUACAGGUAAUAAACCAUUUUCAAGGACAGCCACACCUACAAUGCAUUGCACUAGUUUAAUCAGUCCAAUAAGCUAUCAGACCAUGGAUAAGUGCGUCCAGACUGUCCCUUUCUAGGAGAAGCUGAAGUUGGCAUAUCAGACUCAACUGUUAAAAGGCACUCCAUGCCACUGAGGAGACUUGGGUCCCUGAAUUAUGAAACUUUUCCCUUUAGGGGGAACAGGCUGAACGCCAACUCUCUGAACCUGGGAACCGCCUACAAAACUCCACUUUUUUGGAACUGAGCUUCAGUUCAUUGGCUGCCCUUUAGUCCAUUGCCAAGACCACACACCACUUUAAUGCUCCCGCCACCUCUCCUGGCCCUGAUGCUAAGGACAAAUGUAGUGAAAGUCACCUCUCCUGCCCUUUCUGCAAAGGGGAACUCUUGAUCAAAGCCACUGCCCGAACCAUUGUCUAUAUUUUUAAUGCCAGACAACUCUAAUUCCAAAAGCAAGCACAGAAGCUCGUUCAUAAUGAAAGUACUUGACAGCAGUAGCAGAAAGUAAGUACAUGCUAGUAAUGAGCUAUAAGACUUCUAUAUAAUAGUAUAGAGGCUAUUAAGGCAAAGAGAACUUUGCAAGUCAGAAAAUGCAGAAACCCUCUCUGCCAUUUUUAGAAUAUGGAUCUUUUAAGGAAUGGCCCUACUAACCAAAAUGCAUGUGCCUGCUAGAUCACUACUGUGUAUUAGGUCUAGAAGGUCUUUUGUUUCCAGACAAACCUGUCUAGAUGUUGUUUCCCAUAUGCUGCAAAAACAGAGCUGCCACAAAUGGUCCACUAUUAGUAAUUCAUGUAUGGUUUCUCAGAAGGCAGCUUUCAGAAAACAGGUGUGUCCCAGGCAUUUCUCAAGUAGGUCACUAGGGGGAUUAGAUUUCAGGCCAGCAACUAUUAAGAUAAGGCACACUGCCAUGUUAAAGAAUUCCAUGUGUCAUUAUUUCUCCUCAAUGCUUUUAUGAAGAGUGGAAUAAAUAUGCUUUGGAAUUUCUCGGAACUGCCGAGAGUUAGCCGUACUAGGGGGACCUAAACGUACCACAUGUUUUGCAGACAAAAAACAAAAAUGUUUAUUUUUGUACACUACCUGCUAAGUAAUUUUCUACUAUUUUAAUGGACGUUAGCAGUCAUUGCUUCGCAUUCCGCUGCAUGACUAGAAUCUCCCAUCUUCACUUCCUCUUGCCUCCAUUUCCUCCUUUUAAAAGUAGAGAUUGUUUCCUUAUUUAUGCUGCCAGAUUGAGAAGCUGAAACAUUGACGGUGAGUUGGCCAGCCUUCCAGGGUGUCCAAGGAGACUGCUCAGCCACAAUACACAAUGGGAGCUAAUUGCCUAAUAAAUAUGUGGACAUCAAAAGGCUAUAAAUCUGGUGCACAGGUGCUAUCCAUUUAAACCACAAGAACAACUACCUAAAGCUUGAAAGUACAAAGAAAGAACUUGAACUUGAGGGGUGUGUGUGUGUGUGUGUGUGUGUGUGUGUGUGUACUAGACUGAAACAGGGCUGGAAAUCCAGAGCAUUGCUUGGUAUAUAUCAGAGGCUGACAAAAAUAUUAAUAUAAAAAAAUCCAGCCAAAUGUGGUCUAAGUUCUAUGUUCCCUUUUUGUUUUGUGAGUAGGGUUGCAAGGGGUUGAGCAGUAAGGGGGUUAGGAAGGAUAGACUCCAGAUGUUGGCUUGAAAAAUGACAACAAUCCGAGUUAAUCCCAACAGAGAAUGUUCUUAAUCAACAGCCUGCAAAUUCUGGUGGUAUAUAAGCCUUACAUCAGACUUUCGGUCCCAUUUAACCCAGGGCAUUAUCUGUGCCAGGAGCGAUGCUGUUUUCUGACCGCAUUUGUAUUACAACCUUAUUCGUAUUCAGAGGAAGUGCCCCAGGUCAAUGAGUGUUCAGCUAGGUAACCCCGAAGGUCAGGUUUAAUUGCCCUAAAAGGUGGCACAUGGCAACGAAUGAUCUCUAAUGAUUUAGAUAGUAUCUAUUUCACAUAAAGACGUUUGGACUCUGAAGAGACCUCAUCGAAAGUAAUCUGAAAAUUAGUGAAAAUAAAAACCAUGCACACAGUUACCUAAAUACCUAUUUCCUUUCAUUUUCUGCCCUAAAUGACCCUGUCUUGGGGACAUUACAUUUUUUUUUGUUUUCACUAAUAUGCAAUUGCCUGAGAGAAAUGUUAGAUGAUAAUCACUCAUUACCAAUCUGCGACAUAGAAAAUAUUAUUGUUCUAAUUAAAUGCCAAAUACAAGGGAAAGUGGGAGAAAGAAUUGUUUCUUAACCUAAAAAAAAGGGGGGGCCUUUGAAUUCAAUUUCCAUAGAUCUUCUCUUGGAACAGUACUUUUGUGGAUGUCUUACCGAUCGGUCCCAUGCAUAUUUCAACUGCAAACAGUAUAUUUAGAGAUGAAGCCUUUAUGGUAUAUUAAAGUCACUCUUAGACUGAUCUGUCUAAAUUAAAAGACGCCUGCUUCUUGGGAGAAAAGCAAUGACAAACCUAGACAGCAUCUUAAAAAGCAGAGACAUCACCUUGCUGACAAAGGUCUGAAUAGUUAAAGCUAUGGUUUUCCCAGUAGUGAUGUAUGGAAGUGAGAGCUGGACCAUCAAGAAGGCUGAUCGCCAAAGAAUUUAUGCUUUUGAAUUAUGGUGUUGGAGGAGACUCUUGAGAGUCCCAUGGACUGCAAGAAGAUCAAACCUCUCCAUUCUUAAGGAAAUCAGCCCUGAGUGCUCACUGGAAGGACAGAUCCUGAAGCUGAGGCUGCAAUACUUUGGCCACCUCAUGAGAAGAGAAGACUCCCUGGAAAAGACCCUGAUGUUGGGAAAGAUUGAGGGCACAAGGAGAAGGGGACGACAGAGGAUGAGAUGGUUGGACAGUGUUCUCGAAGCUACCAGCAUGAGUUUGACCAAACUGCGGGAGGCAGUGGAAGACAGGAGUGCCUGGUGUGCUCUGGUCCGUGGGGUCACGAAGAGUCGGAAACGACUAAACAACUAAACAACAACAGUCCCAUGCUUUAUACUUGUGCUUCAUUUGUAACAUGUGAUUCAUAAGCUUCCCCCUACACACACUAGUACGGAGUUGGUGCUUAUUUCCUCAUAGGAGAUAUGCAGCUAUGUCUUUGGACAUCACAUAGGAAUUGCAUGCAGAAGCAAUUCCUUCCCAUGCUCUUCCAGAAAUAACACACUACAUCACCUCCAAAAUUGUGGAUUGACAUCGGGGGUGGAACAGUCUUUAUUCAACCCUUUUCAAGUCACUAUUUGCUCAGUCCCAAAUAACUGUCUGAUAUUUAGGUGUCCCUUUGGUUGUGGAACAGAAGGUUGGUGGUUCGAAUGCCCGUGAUGGGGUGAGCUCCCGUUGCUCGUUCCCUGCUCCUGCCAACCUAGCAGUUCGAAAGCACACCAAAAAGUGCAAGUAGAUAAAUAGGUACUGCUCCGGCGGGAAGGUAAACGGCAUUUCCAUGUGCUGCUCUGGUUUCUCCAGAAGCAGCUUAGUCAUGCUGGCCACAUGACCCAGAAAAACUGCCUGUGGAAGCGGACAAACGCCGGCUCUCUCGGCCUGUAAAGUGAGAUGAGGGCCGCAACCCCUGAGUCAUCUGCGACUGGACUUAACUGUCAGGGGUCCUUUACCUUUACCUUUUUUGGUUGCGGAAACAAUUCUCUGUGUUGUCUUUGUGGUUAUUUCUGUGGCAAUGGUUCAUCUUCAGUGGAGAUGAUGUUCUCCAGUGUCACAGAAUCAUCAUCAAAUUGUAGAGCUGGGGCACCUAGUCUAACUUUCUACAAUGCAGGAAUCAUAGCUAAAUGAUCAAGGGUAAUAAUGGUUAUACCAUGGUCAAUAACACAGAGGGAAUGCCAAUAUUGCAGGCAAGAUGGAGGAAGGACCUCCAAUGGGCAAGUUAUAAGCAUGAAUUCUAGAAGCCAUUAAAAAAAUAUAUUCAAAAACACACAAUGAAAUAUAUGAACUGCUCCUAUGAAACUAUGAGCUAGCUAUGAAGGAUUGCACUUGAGGCGAAGGGAAGAAAAGGAAAAAAGAAAAUUGAGCCCUUUCAAAUCAUUUAAUGUGCUUGAGUGAGAUACGUGGCCCUCAAGCGUUAAGGAAAGGGUUGAAGUAAUAACCUGAAAAUUCCUUGAAGAUGUUCCAAGAAAUAUUGAAUCUAAGAAAGUAAAAAUGCCAUACAGUCUACAUGAAAGAGAAAAAGUAAAGUGAAAUGGAAUCUGUCAUAUUUACACAGAAAUGGACAGUUAUGUAUAUACAGUAACUGCAAGACUAUUGGAUUCUUGUUACAUUUUUCUUCCUGAAAUACUGAACUGAUUUCAGUAGAGUGUUUUUAGCCUUUUGCUUAUUGCCAAUGGGGAUAUAUAUAUAUAUAUAUAUAUAUAUAUAUAUAUAUAUAUAUAUCCUUAAAAGAAUAAGUAAUCUUCAUACAUAGCAAAAGUAAUGUAUAGCUUUAAGGAACUCAUUGGGUUUAAAAUAUAUAUGGAUAUGGAUAUAAUGAUGUGUUGUCUGACUGCCAGUGAGCUUUAAAAAAAGUAAAUUUCCUUCCAUCUGCUGAUGUGAUUUCCACGUUCUAGACCUAGUCUGUUGGCUGAUUCACACGAACCUGAAAACAGAUAUAUAGUUUGAGAGACUGCAGGCAGUUUGGGAGUCAGAAUUGUGUUAUUGUUUCACAUUGUGCUCAAGUUCGAAGGCCUAGUUAAUAUAUUUUACAGUAGCAUGGGAGCGAUUUCCUUACGGGCUAGAUCCAUGCUGCUUCAGUAAUGGGGGGGGGGGGAUAAUAUGAAUUGACCGAAAUGGUUUCUUCCUGUGCCACUUUUACCCUCCUAAAAGUUGAACAAAGUUGACUUGGCAAGAAACCAUGUCAUAUGUGCAGAGCUGUGUGGUUCUUUCAUAUGGAGCAGGGGGUAGCCAAUGUGAUACCGACCGGAUGUUUAUGGUCCACAACUGUCAUCAGCUGCACCCAAAAUGGCCAAUAGUCAGGGAUGAUGGAAAUUGUAGUCCAGAAAAAAGUGGAAGAUACCAUAUUGACUACCCUGAUCUAGUCAUUACCACAGUAAGUGGGCCUGGAAAUGGCUCUUCCACCAUUGCAAGUUUGGGCCAAAGUUUGGUCCCACGUCUGAAACUGUUGAUGAUGACUACGGUAGUCCUUAGCUUUUAAUAGCCAAAGGAAUUAGACCAGCUGUACAGCAACUGUCUGUGCUUUCUAGCAUUAAUGAUAGAAAAGAGACAAGGUGCGACUGAGUGCCAAACGAUGCAAUGCUCACUUACAUAUAGUUUGUCCCAGACUUUGUUUUAUAAAGUGCAGCUAUGGAGGCUGCAUGCUAAAAGGGGAAAGCAGUGCAUUUUAUAUAUGUGUGUAUAUGUUUGUGUUUACCUUAGCUCAUCUUGCUUGUGCUGUUUUUUUGGGGGGGGGGACCGGUGGGAAUCCCUCAAUGAGGGGAAAAAUUUAGCUGUGAGCCAUUUUUAGCAGGCAAAGGGACAAGGGGAAAGAGAAAGGGCCCCUCCAGACCUUUUUGGCCGCCGCAUUCAUGAUGUUUUGUGAUGAUACUGGGGUGGUUAUACGCAACCCCAUUUUCAAUACUGUUUGUACCUGCAGAUGUUUUGGGGUGAACAUUCUGCUUCACCUCCAAUUGAUGCACACCCUAUAGCUGAAAUCCCUUAUCUUUUCCUGCUACAAAUGUUGGGGUGGUGUUGGUCUCCCUUUUCUAACUCUAUAGUGCAAGAGUGCCUCUCCAGAUGGCAAUAAUGCAGUAACUGAGAGCCAGUGUGGUGUAGUGGUUAAGAGCGGUAGUCUCCUAAUCUGGUGAACUGGGUUCGAUUCCCCGCUCCUCCACCUGCAGCUGCUGGGUGACCUUGGGCCAGUCACACUUCUCUGAAGUCUCUCAGCCCCACUCAUCUCACAGAGUGUUUGUUGUGGGGGAGGAAGGGAAAGGAGAAUGUUAGCCGCUUUGAGACUCCUGAAGGGGAGUGAAAGGCGGGAUAUCAAAUCCAAACUCUUCUUCUUCUUCUUCUAACACUGGGGAAGCAUCACAGAGCAAUUGAGAAAGUGGAAUGGCAUGUGGUCAGUCCAAUAUAUAUCUGCCACUACUGUACUAUUAGAACAUCAGUGACACGUUGCAGAAGACACCUGCCCGCCACACAAAAAGAGUGGAGGGACCCUAAGAUCCCCUUUGCCAUGAUCUGGUCUUCUACUUCAGUUUGCAAUCCUCAAAGCUGCAAGUUAUAUUACUGGCAGCCAAGUAUUGUGCUUACUUUGGUCCUAGGCUGUUGUUGUUUUUAAAAUGUAUACUGUCUUUCAUCCAUGAUUCAAAACAACAUAGAAACAUAAAAUACAUGAUAAAAACAAGAAUUAAAUAAAACACAAACCAAUAACUCCCCCCUCCAUCCCAACUAGUGAGUAAAAUAGUAUAGGGCUACAUUUACCAGUGACUGGUAAAUAGAACCACUGUGUUAUAGGUAAAAAAAAGGGUUAGGCAGAAGAGAUGAAGGCAGAAGAGAAGCUCGUGCAUUUCUGGUUCAAUACCCAGUAUCUCAAGGUGAAGGUAAAGAUAAAGGUAAAGGGACCCCUGACCAUUAGGUCCACUCGCGGACAACUCUGGGGUUGUGGCGCUCAUCUCGCUUUAUUGGCCGAGGGAGCCGGCGUACAGCUUCCGGGUCAUGUGGCCAGCAUGACUAAGCCACUUCUGGAGAACCAGAGCAGCACACGGAAACGCCGUUUACCCUCCUGCCGGAGCGGUACCUAUUUAUCUACUUGCACUUUGACGUGCUUUCAAACUGCUAGGUUGGCAGGAGCAGGGACCGAGCAACGGGAGCUCACCCCAUCGUGGGGAUUCAAACUGCCGACCUUGUGAUCGGCAAGUCCUAGGCUCUGUGAUUUAACCCACAGCGCCACCCGCGUCCCUCUAUCUCAAGGUAGGGAUGGGAAAAAUCGCUGUCUGAAAUCAUGGAGAAAUGCUACCAAUCCGUGUAGACAAUACUGGGGUAGCAACAAUAGUCUGACUUGCAUUUUCCUACCGGAAACAGCAAAUGAGGGAUGAAUGAAGAAUCCAGGCCACUGGGUGGAGGCAUUUGGGGCUGGCUAUAACAUCACACUCUUCCAAACACUUAUUCAGAGGGAUGGAAUAAACCAAAUGGAGAAGUGAAUCGGAAUCCAGAUGCAAUUCUUAGGUUUAAAGAAACAUACUUGUUAACGAUUUCUGUCUCUCUUACGGUAUUUUGCUGCAGAGCAAGGCCAUUUUAAAAUACAAUUUGCAUUUGUUAAGAUAUUGAUCCCAGUUGCACCACUUAAAGCCCACAAAUUUCCCCAAAUUCAAUAACUAUGUUUACACGCAGUAGUCAAAGAGGAAAUUGCAUGUGAAAGCACUUUCUAAGGAGAUGGUAUUUUGUUGCAAUUAUGCAUAAGCUGUAUGUUUACAUCAGGGUUUUAAGGAGAAUUCAAAGCAUAUCUCCUUUUUGUGAUGCAUCAACAAGCAUAUCAAAUGAGUGUUCAAACGCUUGUUCGCUUUAUAAAAUAAGAACCAAAUGGCUGAGUAAUUUCCAACCCCACAAAACUGCUAGAGCAAUUCCAUGGUCUAUUUAGAACAUAUUUAUAAAACCUUUUAAAUAAUAAAACUCUACACUCAAUCUUUAAAAACCUACCAGAUCUGUUGGACUCACAUUUCCAAACAUUGUGCAUUGCAGAACUAUUAUAUUAAACGCAUUUUUUUCCACCAUAGAUCAUGCAUGCCACACUUUCUCUCCAUUAGGCCUUUGGCAGCUCUUGAGAUUGAAUUUGGUUUAUUUGUUGGUUUGUUUGAAUGAGCUGCUUUUGGGCAGGUGACCUAUCACAACAAUCAUUCACAGAGCCUCAUAGAAAUGACUGGGCCAAUGGCAUCAACUUUUCCUUUGUCUAUACUAUGCCCUUGUGCAGAAACAGCAAAGCCAUAUUGCUGUCAUGAGGAGAAGGGCUAGAGCCUGGUGGUAGAGUACAGAUAGAAAGUCAUAAAGGUUCCAUCCCCGGCUCAUCUAGGUUCACUGAAGAAAACCCAUAGACCCACUGUGUAUCAUCAGGUGGACUAAGCAUUAUGCCACUAAGCACCACCUGCUGAGAACUGCAGGUGGCCAGAGUCCUGUUGCAAGCUUCCUGCAGGCAUCCGGUUGGCCACUGUGAGAACAGGAUGCCAGACUAGAUGGGCAAUUGGCCGGAUCCAGCAGGGCUUCUUUUAUUCUAUUUUAUUUAUUAGAUCUAUAUGCCACCCUUCAUCAUAAGAUCUCAGGGCAGUUCACAAAAUAAAAUACAGGAUCAAAGCAGGUACAGUGGUACCUCGGGUUACAUAUGCUUCGGGUUACAUACGCUUCAGGUUACAGACUCUGCUAACCCAGAAAUAGUACCUCGGGUUAAGAACUUUGCUUCAGGAUGAGAACAGAAAUUGUGCUCCGGCGGCAGCAGGAGGCCCCAUUAGCUAAAUUGGUGCUUCAGGUUAAGAACAGUUUCAGGUUAAGAACAGACCUCCGGAACGAAUUAAGUACUUAACCUGAGGUACCACUGUAUUAAUCAGCCCAAGGCCUGGUUGAAGAAGAACGUUUUUGCCUGGCACCUAAAAAUAUAUAAUGAAGGCACAAGACAAACCUCUCUGUUAAGUGUAUUCCACAAACAAGGAACCACCACAGAAAAGGCCUGUUCUCAUGUUGCCUCCGGACCUCACAUGGAGGAGGCACAAAAAGAAAGGCCUCAGAUGAUGGAUACAAAGUCUGGGAUGGUUUAUAUGGGGCUUAUGUUCUUAUGAUCUAUUUUGGCAUAAGUACAGUGGUGAUGUGUCCUACUUUACACAAGACAAUCCUUCAUUUGAAGGGCUGUUGAGUCCAAGUUUUUCAGGGAGUCUGAAGUUGCCAACAACAGAUAGCAGCUGCAUGGCAGACUAAUAGGUCACCUGGAGCAUAGGAAGCUGCCUUUUGGUCCAUCUAGCUCUGCAUUGUCUACAUUGACCGGCAGUAGCUUUCCAAGAUUUCAGGCAGGAGUCUCACCCAACCCAACCUGGAGGGACUUUUUGCUUUGCAAGGCAGACGCUCAGCUACUGAGCUUUCCCACUAAAUUACCGUUUAAAUUAUAUAAGUUAUUUCUUUCAACACAUGCAAAUUUACAUUCAAAUAAAUUAGCAUAUGCAGAUUUCAUGCAAAUCCACAUCCUUUUUUGAUGAUGUAUUUCUUCCUUCUGGCAAUGCAUACAUGAUCACCCUCAAUAAAAGGCAACUUCUUGUUUCCCUUGUACAUGGCCUCAUUGGGAUUUUGGGGAAACAUUUCCGAGUUAGUGUACAGUGGUGCCCCGCAAGACGAAUGCCUCGCAAGACGGAAAACUCGCUAGACGAAAGAGUUUUCCGUUUUUUGAGUCGUUCCGCAAGAAGAAUUUCCCUAUGGGCUUGCUUUGCAAGAUGAAACGUCUUGCGAGUUCUUGAGAGUUUGUUUCCUUUUUCUUAAAGCCGCUAAGCCGUUAAUAGCCGCUAAGUCGCUAAUAGCUGCUAAGCCGCUAAGCCGCUAAUAGCCGUGCUUCACAAGACGAAAAAACCGCAAGACGAAGAGACUCGCGGAACGGAUUAAUUUCGUCUUGUGAGGCACUACUGUAUUUCCAAAUGUAAACUAAAUAAGGGCUCAUUGCAAAGGUAUACACAAAACAGUGUUGUUGUUUUUAAAAAAGCAAAUGGAAUCAUAAUCCCUGGGAAAUGGCAUAUCUGAUCCAAACCCACCUUUUAGUUCUUAAUGGAUGCCAAACUGAUUUACAUUCAUUACCAAGUGUAGCUUGUCUGAGAAUAACAGAAAGGCAAAUGUGCUCACAGCAGCAUUGAUUUUCAAAAGGAGGGGAAUAAUUUUUCUGAUUAAUUUCAGGUUGGAAAGUCUCAAAUUCAACCCAAGAAUGGGGUUUUUUAAAAAAACAAUUUAACUCCCCAACACACUUUUCUUAUCUUUCUUCUCCCUCUGGCAUCAAUGAGAAGUUUUCAGCUCCUAAAGGAAUUGAUCAUUCAAAGCAGCCUGGAAGGCUGGAUAUGAAGCUAACAAUAUAUUUGCUUCCUAAUAGCCUUUCAGCUCAAGUCUUAUUACUUAAAGUUGUUGUUGUUGUUGUUAGAUCAAAUUCAUAGCGUGGAGACUAAUUCUGUCCAUAUACCGAGUAUGUAAAGGAAUGAUGUAUUUUAAACCUCACUUCUGUAGUGGUGAUCACACAAGGGCUGUCGUCUAUUCUCCAAAGUACAAGGGGUUGCAAACAUGUCCCCGUACACCUCAAGUGUUCUCCUAGUGAGGGGAGGGGACAUAGUUUAGUAGCAGAACACCUGCUUUGUAUGCAACAGGUUUAAGUUAAAUCCCUGGGAUCUCCAGGUAGCAUUUGGAGAGACUCCUGCCUGAGUUCUUGGAACAUGGCUACCAGUCACUGGAGAUGCCAAGCCAGAUGGACCAAAUGUUUGAAUUAGUAUAAGGUAGGGUGGGGUCUGUCAGAUUUGGAUGCAUCCUGAAUCCUGAGGUAUAGUCCUCAGAAGGAUUUUGGCUCAUCGAAGGCAAAGUAGGAGCUCUAUGAGGUGGCACGAGUCAAAAGUGGAGGCCCCAGAAGUGCUUCCUGGUGUCUAGAUCCUGAUAAAAAUGAAAGCAUUAUCUCUAAGCUUACCAUAAAGCCAAGGUGGGAUGAUGUGAGAAGGUAGAGCACAGACUAGAGAGAAGAGAGGGCGGAAGGGGAGUUCCAUUGUGAGAAACAGGUCCAGCUUGAAAAGGAGGGAAAUGUGUUACACAGAAAGUGACUCUCUUUUUAUAUAGAUGCAAAAUAUUGCUUUGGAUUAUUCUGAUUAUCUUAAAACAGUCAAGCAAGAGAACUGUAAGGCAACCUGAGAAAAUGCCUCUGACUACAUGGCAGUACCAUUUGAGAUGGGGAGGCCCUGUACCAAUUUCUUGUUUAAAAUAAAAUUUAGGAUCAAACUUCAAGGAGUGACCAAAGGAUCAAGCGCAGAAAUAAUACAGAAACAGAACUAUGGCAGAAAGAUGUGUAUACGGCCCUUUCUGUGGUCCAACUUUGUAAUUCUUGGUGUGGUGGGGGUCCCGCGUUGUCCUACUGUGCUUAUUAUCAAUGCUGGCCAAAUUUGGAAAUUCCUUUUAGGAAGAAAAGGCACAACAGAAAUACUUUUACUUAAAUAAACAACACCAUGAAGCUAACACCUGAUCAGUGGAGCUGGUCCACUAUGGUCCUUCCAAGGAGAAUGUUAAGAAUUAUUUUAACACAUAAAGGUAAAGGUAAAGGGACCCCUGACCAUUAGGUCCAGUCGUGACCGACCCUGGGGUUGCGGUGCUGGGGUUGCGGCGUACAGCUUCUGGGUCAUGUGGCCAGCAUGACUAAGCUGCUUCUGGCAAACCAGAGCAGCGCACGGAAACACCGUUUACCUUCCCACCGGAGCGGUACCUAUUUAUCUGCUUGCACUUUGGCGUGCUUUCGAACUGCUAGGUUGGCAGGAGCUGGGACCGAGCAACGGGAGCUCACCCCGUUGCGGGGAUUCGAAUCGCCAACCUUCUGAUCAGCAAGUCCUAGGCUCUGUGGUUUAACCCACAGCGCCACCUGUGUCCCUAUUUUAACACAUACAUACACCAAAUCUCAAAGCCGCAUACUCUUUCCUGUUCCCCACACAUUUUAUACUUCUAUUUGAACCCAGGGAAGCUCUGCAAACAUUUUUGGCAUUCAGUUCCUUGCAGCACUCAAACAACCCUAUUCUAAAAACAUAGCUAUGGCAAAGGGGCCCCUCCAGUGUGUCACUAAGCAGAAAAACCUCGUGACUAAUUGGACUGCCCUUCAUAGGGACUGCCCUAUGGAGGUUUCCACUCCAUCCAUUGUUAUGAGGGCUAACCAACAUUGACAGUAUUGUAUCAGCCUAGGAAGGGCUGCCUUGAAGCAUGCUCAGAGUUGUUGUCUUGAAAGUCAUAGCCCAGAUCACAUUCUUUGUAGCUAGCAGGAAAAGGGUGUGGUUGCUAGUUUAAGUAGGUUGCUUAUUAUUAAUAUUUAUUGAGACAGGUGUCAUGAGUUUGCAAGGAGGAGUUGGUGGUGAGACUUAAAACCCUUAGGCUGCAUCACACCCUUAGGGGAGAAUAUUGCCUGCAAAUUGUUUUACUCAGUAAGCCAACGGUCAAUGGCCGCCUUGUCUUCAUAGCUUUUUUAAAAAAACAACAAGCACACCAGAUCAACUGGCUCAUCGUGCGCUGUUGGGAACAUUAUUCUGGUAUCCUUUUAAUGAAAGGGGUAGCCAGCUAGCCAUGGUUUACAGCAGAAAUGUAUUAUUCCAUAAGCUUUCAUGGAUUACCAAGAAUGAUGCAUCUGAUGAAGAGAACUUUACCUCCCAAGAACUUGUGCCAUAAAAAAAAUAGUUUUAAAGGUGAAAGUGCUGUUCUUUUUGAUGUUCUGCUAAAAUUGCACUAUAGUCUACAGAGUUAUUGUGAGGGGGAGAAGACUAUAAAACACUCUGACAAACUUAAAAUGCAAGUAGGUACAAGAUGCAGGAUGGGUAAGUUGAGAGCCUAUACGUAGUACAGCAUCAUGAAUUGUACCUGGCCUGCAAAACCCAUCCAUGCAACCUUGCCCUAGCAGACAGCCACCCUUUAGAUUGUCCCGUGACCAACAUAUAAAGUCCUAUGCUUAUAGACUUGCAUACCCUGAUUUUUAGGCUGGACUAUGAAAGAUUCUUGUAUGCAGCAAAAAAAUAAAAUGAAAAGAAGCGUUAAAGACUUAAACAUUUAUGACUGCAUAGUCUUUUGUGGACUAUAGUGCACUUCAUCAGGACUUAUUGUGCAUCAGAGCUUACUGUUUUGCUCUGGGCAUCAACGUUGGGAUGUCUCACUAGCUUUCUGGUGCUCAGAUAAUAACACAUAAUAGUAUUAUAUCUUGAAAGUGUACAUCAUUGCACAUCUAAGAGCCAAGUGCUGAGAGUUAGCAUAGGGAAGUUUCCCCUUCCUUUCUCAUACAAAUAAAUCACACCUGACAAGAAUAAUCUAUAGCCAAGUCUGAAUGUUCAACUAUUAUGAGCUUGGGGGGUUUUUUUGAGGCAAAAAGAAAGAGAGAUAAUGAAUGGCUAUGAACUUGGGAAACUUUGCUUUAUGAAAAUGCUCAUGAACAAGACCAAACAGGAAACUUAAAGAGCUUAUGAACUUUUUGAAUGAAAAAUAAUUGUUUAUAUUAAAGUAGGGAGGGGGAAAUAUUGAGGAUUUUAUGUCUGACAGGAGGCUUAUCGUUUAUCCAUCUUCUGAAAGGCUGCUUGAUUCCAAAGUGUGUUUUGAAAAUUCUAUGUUAAAUAGAAGUUUACACUAAUACAUCAGCUAAUUACAUAUAGACAUUUGACAUGGUGAUGUGGGGGGAAUGAACUCCUUGGUCUAAAAGAUAGGAAUGAAUGGGUCUACUUGUUAUUUGUUUGCCCGAGCUUCUCGGAAUGUGACAAAACUAACAUUUUGCAUGGUCUGUUGAGUUUAGGUCUAUGGUUAUAAGGUGUUUUUUAAAUCACAUGACUUGCUGUGUGUUUAGCAGCAGCAGAUUCACAAGUGGGGCAAAGAAGCUUGGGCUAAAUGGCUUGUGCAGUCCCCCCCCUUUAAACACCAGCACUCCAUUUGCACUCAGGUAAGGUGAAAAGGUAAAGCUUUAUUGUCAUUCUUUUUUCAUUACAGGGAUAAUAAGCCUUCUCAUAAACAAUUUGAAGCAAAUGAUUUUUGGCUCCCAGUCAGAGCUGAGAUGCCUAAGGACAUCCAUUUGCACAAGUAGAAAAAGACACUCUGCCAUUUCCAGGAGUAAUAUAGUCCAUAAACCCCUUUUCAUUGCUAGUUAACCAUGAAUUUGUUUCUUUUUAAAAAAAAAAACACUUUACAUGCUUUCUGUGACAGAUUUAUUGUUGUUCUCAUAAUUCCCAUUCAACAGGUCAAGAUGCUUAAAAUCGAGUAGGGUGGGGGACAUUGCAUACAGGCAUCUGCUGAAGACCAGGUUGUGGUUACAAUUCAAAAAGAUCAGCGGCAGAGGUCAAAACUAUUUUUGGCACUAUUUUGCCCAUUCCUUUAGAGCCAAGAGUUUACAGUCUAUUAUUCUACACAAUGGAGAACCAAGCAUAGGCUGUACAAAAGGACCCUGUAGUGAUUAUGCUACGAUAACUUACUAUAUAAUAAUGUAUUUUCAAAGAUGGUGCAUCAGUUUCAGUGGCACAUAUGGAGACACCGAUAUCAAAGAAUAUUAAAGAUACAGUGGUACCUCAGUUUACAAGCAGUCCUGUUUAUGAACGAUUCGGUUUAACCAGAAGUAGUGUCCCGGUUUGCGAACUUUACCUCAGUCUAAGAAUAGAAGCCAAACGGUGGAAGGGCACCAGCGGCAGGAGGCCUCAUUAGGGAAAGCGUACUUCGGUUUAAGAUUGGAUUUGGUUUAAGAACGGACUUCAGGAAUGGAUUAAGUUCGUAAACCAAGGUACCACUGUAUUAUGUUUUUACUGCUGGAGGCACCUUACAGUUUGACCUCAUUCACAGCACUGGUUAUGAACUAUAAAGCCCUAUGUAGCUUAGAUCUAAGCUAUCUGAAAGACUGUAUUUCCUCAUAUGAACCUGCCCAGAUUCUGAGAUCUUCAGAAGAGGCCCUUCUGUCAGCCCCACCACCCUCACAGGCAUACUUGUGGUAGAGGGCCUUCUCAGUGGCUGCUUCCAGACUUCCCAAGAGAAAUUAGAUUGGCUGCCUCCCUGUGGUCCUUCUGGCAGCAGAUGAAGACCUGCUUGUUCCAACAGGCUUUGGGGAACUGACUACUUUUAAUGAGGGGGCUGGUGCCGUUGUGAUUGCCUGUCUAUUUUCAAUAGAUGCUGAAGUGUACGUGGAUUCCCAUGAGGCAAGACACAGUGAUAACAGCAAGAACCUUUACUGAGCUAACAGAACUGGACAACAGGGGCAAAGCAACUGGUUAUAUACAUUUCUGAAGGCCUGAACCACUCCCACUCCCACUGUGAUUGGCUGUCUAAACUUCCAAGCUGCGAAUCAUAACUCAGAGUUUAAGGGGCAAAGGCCCAAAUCCUGAAAUGUUCUGUGAUUGGAUAUCAUGUAGCGAAUCAGAACACAGGGGCUCAGAAUCUUUAGUCCAGACUCAAGCUCAGGCAAACACAGACCACAGAAUACAUAACAGAUAUUAGAGAGAAAGAGAGAGAUUUUAAUUCUAUUAAUGUUUAAUUUUAAAAAAUAAUAAUCCUCCUAUGCUUUUAGCUGUUCUUAUUUUAUCUGUAAGCUGCCUUGAGUCCCUGUCAAGGGAAAAGGCAGGAUUUUAAUAUUAUUAUUAAUAAUAAUAAACAGUCUUCUAUCUGACAAGGCCUAUGUACAUGCACUUACUCAAUCCUUAAGAAAUUUAAACUCAUGGCAGGCACACACCAGAAUCCUGGGAAGCUGUUUGUACCAACAUCAUUCUAAUUUAAAUCUUGCUUUUUCUAGAUCUUUAUCAGAAUAGUGGUAAUAGUUCUGGUACCAUUGCUAUCACUACUUUGGUCUUAUAAUCUGUAAUGGUGCUGAGUGUGGCACUGCAGAGUCUGGACGGUGUUCGGGCAGGACACUGGCAGAUUUGGGGUUGUGUGUUUGCACCAAUGAGAACGCCAGCAUCAACGCAGCUCUCCUUAACUGCCUGACCUCCACCCCAGCCCUGUUCAGGUAAACAGCAGUGAACCUGGUGCCAGGAGAGCGGCUCUGCUCUUCCACAUACUCUGACUGCAAUUAAUUCCUACAUGCGGAUAAUAUGAUAGCACAACAGGUUGCCAUACAUGCCCUCUAUUCCUCCCCCAUAUUACUUGUGGUUCAUCAGAACAGUAAGCAUCCUGGAAAAAAUGUGUCAAGUGGGGUUCUGAUGUCAACCCCCCCCCUUUCCACAAUCAUCAUAUCAUCCAAAGUCCUGGCAUAAAGAACGCCAGAACAUAGCCCUUGCCAGUGUGCAAAACCCACCUUAUCUCCUCGCACAUACAUGCUCCCGGGCAUGACUAAAUAUUUUCCUCCACUAGGAAACAAUGGCCGGGGUGGGGUGGGGUGGGGUGAAUCAUUUAAAAGCAGGAAAUGGACAGAGGAGCACAAGAUCAUUUCUCUGUCCUCACUUCCACUUUGCCAGUUUGAGCCUUCAUAUUUCAGCCCUCCCCUCCCUUUAGAAAUAAUUUUGAAUGGUCUAUUAUUAAAAUGUUGGGUGGGCAUCUUUAGAGGCUUAGCGCUUUUCUUCAGUCAUGGAAUCGUCUAGAAGGCUGUGUGAGGCCGCAGCUGGGACAGGAAGUAUCAGCACCUUACCUGACCUGACUCUUCUGAGGGCAGCUUCUCACAGCUGGCAAGAGUCUGAGAUUAAGGCUAAGCUCCUUAAAAGCAUUUCUUGUUUGUUGUAAUUCUCAUAUUAUGCAUUGCUCCACUUGCUUUCUGUCGAAGGGAAAGUAGAAUAGUUAGGGAAAUUGCCUCUCAAGCCCUUCUAAGUUAAAUGUCAAUCCCGUACUGUACAAUACAAUCCAGAGUGGUGUAUUCUCCCCAUAGAGUAUUAAAAUACUUCUGCUUCCCUGCACAACCUAAGGUUAAGUUGAAUAUGUGGAGGAGUAAAUCUGUACCCACGGCAAUAUGGCAAUAGAAACUUGAUUAUCUGCACACAGCUAUUCAUAGGAAGGCCCAUCAUGGGUUAUAACCAGACUAGAAAGAGUCCUAAAACUAAUUGUGUAUAAUCACCAUAGCAUUCAGAAAUGCUUAAGAGUGGUCUUCUGAUUCUUGCACUAUAAAUGAACCUGAAGCAUCCCUCCUAAUUCUUCACCUUGGGUAAACAGGUAUUAAUAGAAAUGGGAAGUGUUGCCUCUGAACUUCCACAACAGGCUUUAUGUUCUGUCCAGUAGCAACAUGCAAAUGUGAUUCUAAUUCCUAAAAAAACCUGUUGGCUCUAAAUAAUAAAAUAAAAUAAAAACUGAAUGAAUAAAUAUCCUCCCUUUGAGGACUUGCAGCUGAAAUAUUCAAAUCACUUGAAAUCAUUAUUCAAAAACUGCACAAUGAAGGUGCCCAAAACAUCUCCGUGGGGAGGGAAUUCCACAGUGUAGGGUAUGAUGACUGCAGCUAAAAACAAAAUGGCAUUGUGUCCAGCUCUCUUGCCUUUGUACAGUAUGCUACAUUUCAGCCAUGCAAAACCAGGGGGUUCUAUCUACAGCUCUCCAAGCAAGCAAGAGGUAAUAUAGCACAUGACAACAAUAUUUUCCAGCUUGGCAGAAGCGCCUGAAGAGGGCGGAUGGCAAGGCCUGUGAGGCAUAGAAGCCAACUCCUAGGGCCAAGGGGGCUUCAUGCCCCCCAUAAAACAUUUGAGGGGCUGUCCCCCCCCCCCAGUUGAUGGGCAUUGCCAUUCAAAUGGUGUACAUGCACCACAUCAUGUGAUUGAUUAUGCAGGCCGGGGCUUACCUGAGCCCCCCAGUAUCUUAUUCAAGUUGGCACCCUUGCCAUGAGGGAUAUACCCCACAGAAAGUCCCAAUGGCUUGACAGAGAGGCCCAUGGAGGACUUUCCAUACUUGAGCUUCCCCACCACUGUUUAACAAGCCUGUUCGUGGUUUAAAUCCCCUUUAAAGAGGCAGUGUCCAUUUUGGUUGAGAAAGUGUUUUUUUUUCUUCAGGAAAGCAAGAACUACUGGUAGGUGUCUCAAGGAAGAAGUAAUGGAAUUCCAUGAAGAAAAGCUCUGCACAAUGGUAGCAUUUCAGCCUGGGCAGGCGGGCGGGGGCGGGACUGGUGUGGGGAAGGAGCCUCAGUUUCUUCUGGGCUCACAGAGGCCACACAAAGUGGUAAAGAUUACAUUACAUUUUUGGCCUAAUUAAAACUUCAUUCCAUAGUUUGAGGAAACCUCUUGAGAACAUUUGCAGGUUUUAAGUAAAAGAGCUUUGCUGGCCUCCAUGUGUUAACUCAAAUGCUAGUGCGAGAAAUUAUAGCUGCAGUUCUGCGGGAGAAAGCUAACAUUGCAGUCUGCAGUUUUUUUGCACCUUAUCCAGUGUCCUGUUUUAUUAGUUAGAUGAUAUGUUUAUCUGCAACUGCUGCUGAGAAAUGUGUGUGCCCCCCACCCUCUCUUCCUUCCCAUCCCACCCACAUGCUCCACUUCUCCUUCUCUGCAGUCUGUCAUAUUUCAUGUUCUGUUGAGGUGUCCAUUUUUCACUCAAACCCACCAAACAUAUUUUAUGACAACCAUAAAACAAAGAGGUUUUAUGUGGGUAAAAGAGCUGAGUUAAGCAGGGAAGGUGAAGAAACGGCGCCAGGGUAGAAUUCUUUUGUGUUACCUUCCUUGAUAUGGGUAGCCUGGAUAAUAAAUGGAUUGGUGGUCUUCCCACUGCCUGUGGCGAUUAGCUUUAGCACUCUUCACAUGAUGAUCACAUGAUCCCCCCCCCCCGCAGCUCCCUGUUGCCCCCUGCCACCAUAUGCUAUGGAGGGUUGGAUCUUCCAGAAAAGCAUGGGAAUCGUUCUGAGGGAAUGAUGGAGCAGCAAUAUUAAAUUCCUUCCUUUGCAUCAGUGACAGCCUUUACUGGAUUGAGGACCUUUCAUGACCACAAGAGUGCUUCCGUUCAUUUUUCUCACAUAUUGUACUGAUUUUUAGGAGAGCUCCUAAUGAAAGUGGGGGGAUGCAGGUGGUGCUGUGGAUUAAAUCACAGAGCCUAGGACUUGCCAAUCAGAAGGUCAGCGGUUCGAAUCCCCACGAUGGGGUGAGCUCCCAUUGCUGCUCCUGCCAACCUAGCAGUUCGAAAGCACGCCAAAGUGCAAGUAGAUAAAUAGGUACCACUCCAGUGGGAAGGUAAACGGCAUUUCUGUGUGCUGCUCUGGUUCACCAGAAGCAGCUUAGUCAUGCUGGCCACAUGACCCAGAAGCUGUACGCCAGCUCCCUCAGCCAAUAAAGUGAGAUGAACACCGCAACCCCUGAGUCGUCUGUGACUGGACUUAACUGUCAGGGGUCCUUUACCUUUACCUAAUGAAAGUGGCUGGCUUUGAUCCAAAGGGGCCUUGGGCAUCGGAGAAAACUGCCUGCUCAUUUCUGUGUUUGAGAAGUCUUCCCUCUUUCUUCCCAUGUGAUUUUUUUCACACUGUCCUGAUAUGGAAAACAUCCACAUGGACAAGCAACCAGGCUAUGCAUUAUCUGAACCUAUUUUCACUAAACAGAUGAUAUCCCAGUAAUACUACAAGUUGAUUCAUUAUUGUUCUUUUUUAGUGUUAAAGUUAUAAUUGACAAUACCUAAGGCUGUAUAUUGUCUCCCUGCUUAUUUAACUUAUAUGCAGAAUUCAUCAUGCGAAAGGCUGGGCUGGAUGAAUCUGAAGC